rnacentral:lncRNA from 1 species
CUGCCACCGGUUGAGCCAAGAAAUACCGUUGGUCACGGUUACUUACGUACGGAGAUAUUUGAUUCGAUCCGACAGAUUCCAUUGAUUUUUUAAGAAUUCCGUUACAACAGUUGGGAGAUUAUGCGAUUACAUAUUUAUGUUGUGGAGAUAGGUACAGUUACAAUCAUACACGUCAUGUAUUUUUGUGAAGAUUCUUGGUAUGGAACGAUGGCACACGUGUGGAAUAACGGCGACGUGUAGGCGAUCACAAAAUACGGCGUUACACGGAAUGCAAAAACCUCAUAUAUUUUAUUUUUUUUAACUCUUGAUUUAUUAUUUAUGGCAAAUUAUGAGAAUUGUUACAACGACGAUACUACUACCGACAAUUCUAUCCGACCUUUUUAGAUUCACCACAGAUUACAACCCUUUCCUGACGACACUUUCUUCUUCAUGCGUAGAAUCACGGCGAACGGCUCUAAUUGUGCAUUGUUAUAGAUCUCUUGUAAGCUUAACUCCUUAAUCUGCAAAUUAAAUAAAUCGCAUUACCCGGGCGUCGAACCCAGGACCUCUUGGUGUAGAAGCUUUAAAAACCUCAUAUAUUCGCGAUCCAAUUUAAUUAAUCUAAAAUUCAGACGUCGUGUGGUUUUCCGGAAGUACAGUGGCACAGCAUGCCAUUUAUUUUUCAUUAAUUUUUGUUUGAGAAACGUUGUCGUUUUGGGUUAAACCUUGUAAAAACUCAAUCCUCUAUCUUGCUCGCAGUAUAACCUAAAAUCAAAAUCACAGUCGCAUUCGUUUUGUCCGGCAAAAAUGGCUUCUAGAUGUCGAUCUUUGUCUAAACCAGCGUUUACUAUGUUUAGAUCUGCAAUGAACAAGCCCUCUCUUCGACCCAAAUCGGCUUCAUCGUUUCUGGGCGUCCCUCCUUCGCCUGGACUUUCGAGGUAACUCAACUGAUUGAUUGAUUGAUUUUUUUUUUCCUUCCCGACAUUUGAGUAGUGGAUUUGUAUUGGUGAGCUCCCGAUUCAUGUAUUUUGUUAAAGGGUUUGUUUGAAUAUUGAUAGGCCGAUUGCUCAGCUGGGAUCACUUCAAUCGUUGCUUCCAUUGUAUAGUGCGGUGGCUUCUGCUAGAUUGACUUCGUGCCUCGGUAUCGAUUCACAGAAUUCUAGGUCAUUAGCUCAGGGUAUGCUCUGCAGUGCGAAUCCAGGAGUUUGAUAUUCCAAAUCCAAAUGUUUUGUGUUUAGUAUAUCUGUAAGCAACCUUUUUUUUAACUCUUUGAUCUUUGCGUAGCUUCGAAUUGACAUGUUAUUUAAUCUUGGUUUCAAAUUAGAGAUUGGAUUUUCGUAAUUAAGAUUCGCUAGCAGUUUAUAUAUAGCCUAAGUAGAUAUUGCUUUUAGUUGGAUAGCUCUGUGUAACUUUGAUCCUCAUCUUUGCAGAACUGACUAUUGACAUUCAAGAAAUUCAUAGAAUUAUCACAGAUCUCGAACUUUUCUCUGUUUCAAACUUGCCCCUUCCCCAUAUUGGUUUGAUCUUUGCUUUGCUUUUCCUUCACAUUGUGCAGUUUGAUUAGGACUAUUGUGGUUUUCCGAGUUUCCUUUUAGUGAACUAUUAGUGUUUGCCAGGGCAUAUAUUCAUUGGUCUCUUAAACACAAAUAGGUUCUUGCUUAUCAAAGAAUUGUUUAGGCAUAAGAAUCUUGUAUUGGCUCGAAGAUGAAAGAGAUGCCCUUUUGGUGCUGCUAUUUCUUCAUCUUCUCUUUGAACUUUUUGUAGUAUUAUUGAUUGCAAAAAACAAUUGAAACAAAUAUGUUUUGAUGGCACAUAUACUAAUCUAUGUCUCUCAUGAAUCUUUGCAGAGCUCGGCCUAAGCGUGCCUCGAUAAUGAGACCAGACUCGAAGAAAUUUGGAUUCGUUUUAGAUGAGAUUCUCUGCAUCUUUGCUUUUGCUGGUCUAAUUCAAUCACUCAGAUCAGUUCUCUGUCAUUUGGAUGAUAAAACACUCUCUUCUUUAGUUACAUUCCAAUUAAGCAACACAAUGUCUUUUGGAACUUCUAUGUUCAACACAUCAAGAUUGAACAAUAAUAGCCUCUUGUCUAUGCUAUUGGUUAAGCCAUGAUUUUGCUAUUCAAUUAUUAUUGGCUAGUUUUAGUUUUACUUGUUUGUGUGUAUAUGAGUUGUUAUUCAAAGUUUCAUUUAGGAUGGAUGAUUAAAUCUAGUGAUCGUAUAUAACUAUCAAAAAUGAUAUCUUCAGCAUGAAAGUUAAGCCAUGCCCAUGAGAUACUCGAACCCUUCAGAAACUUUGUAUGUAGUGAUAAUACGACUUGCCGUUUCUUAUAAUGCACAAAAUUGUGUCGUAGAUAAACGCCUUGCCGUUUUCUACAAUGUAAAACGACGUGACGUCUACUGUGUUUUCAAACAAUCCUUGUAGACACUCUCGGCAAAUUUACAGCUCUUCAACACGAAGAGAGCAAAAAAUGGAGAAGAAGCGUGAAGGAGUAAUGGAAGCAAUGAGUCGGAUCGUAUCAGAUCCUUUCUACUUCCUCCAUUUCAUGGCCUUCUUCUCUUACCUUCCGAUUCGUAGCUCCGCCGCACCCUACACUUCUCAUCGACUCUUCGACAGAGAAAUCCAAGCAUUUCUAGCGUUCCUUAUGUUUUCCGCUAUCAAGGUUUGAGCUUACUUCGAAUUUGAUUAAAUCGCUUGAGUUCUUCACUCCCUGAUUUAUUGAUUUGUGCAAAAUCGUAUUGUAGAUGGUGAGGGAGGAAACAUGGGAAGCUUUUGUUGCGGAUGGUUUACUCUACGCUAAGGUUAACACUCUCGCCGGUUUCAGAUUCCGAAUCAAAAUUGAAUUGUUAGUCAACUUUAAGAUUCAUGUGAAAUCUGCUGAUACACAUUUAUUUACUCGCCCCAGAUCUUUCUCAUAGCUGUUUCGUUGAUUAUGGAUUACCGAGUGGCGAUCUGGUUCUCUGUCAUAUUUUCAGGUGAGCUCAAUUCCUAUCUCUUUGAUUAAAUAUGUGAUAUUGUAUAGGAAAUGCAGAUUUCAGUGUUGAUUGAUCUUAAACCAUUGAUUGAGUCUUUCUAUGUUUGAUUUGAAUGUUUCCUUUUGCAGUUAUAUAUCUUUUAGCUCAACAGCCAGCAUUUAGUAAAUUAGGUAUGGGAUGAUUCUUCAAGUUCUUGCUUUUAUGUGGAUUUGCUGAAUCAAAAGUUGUAUUCUUUGUAAAUUGCGUAAACGUUUGCAGGAACUGCGAAGAAGCUAACACCUAUGCAGUUGGAGGAUUUGCUGUCUGAUGGGAGCACAACGAAAUACUGGUUGGUACGUGGGAACUACUGGCUUUAUCUUUUAGAUGAUACAUUUGAAAAAACCAAGGAGAAGACUUUGGGUAAUGAAAUGAUUUAGUUGCAGAGAGCAUAGCUUACACUCGGAACCCAACAAAGCAUGAUGUCUAUGAAGCUAGAUAAUACCUGUAGCCUCCCCUUACUAUUAUGUCAUCAAAGUUUGUCUUUCUUUUGUUUAGCUGUCAAUCAUUUAAGAAACAGAACUGAUAUGCAACAAUUAGUAAAACAAUGUCGGAAAUUGAACUUUCAUCUGCAAAAGGUUAUUAUUGAAGGCUUGUAGCUACUUUUAUGAUGAUGUGCCUUUCUUAUCUUUUGCAGAUAGAAUUCUUUGCAUGUAGUUCUUCUAAGUGUGUUCGUUCAAGCCGAUGCUUUCCCGAACUCUCUAUCACGUAAGCUUUGUGUAUGAAUUAAGAAAGACCCCAAUUUCACUGUUAGUCUUAAGACACACUCACUCACUCUUCUUCCAUUUCUUCAGGUACUCGAAUAAUCUUUUGUCUUUCGGAACUGUUGAUUUUGGACUUUUCCCUAAUACUGCUGCUAAGUUCGGAAUAUCUCUUGCCGGUAAUAAUUCUUCACUAACUCAUUAAUUUGUCCAAUCUCAAAAACACAUCGAGUCUCUGUUGUGGAAGCAACUGAUCAUAUUGUGUAUCAUAUAUAGGUGGAAUGUCUCAGCUUCCAACAUAUAUAUUGUUCGAAAAGGGUGUUGAAGUUUCUCGGUUCCCAGACUUUUAUGUCGAUGCUGCACCUUCUUUACCCAUAACCAAGGUUUACAUGCUUUGACAAAAUUGGCAAGAAAUCAGUUUUUUAAUGGCUGCAUUAAUUCUCUUAAGGCUAUACGGCUGUAAAUGGAAUUUAUAAAAGUUGUGUUUAUGUGUGGAGGUGGACUGAUUGGACCAAUAUAUUUCUAUAUUUUAUUUGUGGCGGAGAAAACGAAUAACGGAUAUACAACUUUCUGGCCUUCGCUUGCAAGAGCAGUAUGAAGAAAUCAACACAACCAUCAAGUUUAUGGAUUCGUUUGUUUGUUCUUCUAUAAUGGGCAUUUUUAGUGAGGCUCUUCAGAGAAAACGACAGUAUUAUAUUCUAGUGCUAUAGAGAGAUAGAAAGAUUCUGUUGAAAUCUUACGGGGUUUGAACUUCAGCGAAGAAUUCUUGAAUACCUUGGUAAUGGAAAUAUCACUUUCUGACUUCUCUUUAGUUCCAUUCGUUGUCAUGAAUUUUGAGGCUCAUUUGCACUCGUACGUCUCUUAUUGUGUUGUUUUCAUGUGGUAUAUACCACAACCCAUUUAUAAUCCUUUGUCCUAUGUGUGGACUAGAAAAUUACCAGUAAAUAAGUUGGAUCGUGCGUGCGGGCGGCUACUAUUCCAAGUAUCAUAUCUUUACCCUGCCAAUUAUAUUUUUGCAAACAUUCCAAAACUAAUAUGUAGUGAAAGCAACAAGUAAUAAAGUAUGGGGAGCCCAAUAAGUAAGUAUGUUGAUAUACAAAAGAAAGCAUCGUUAUCUUUAAAAGACGUGUGAUUACGAUUUAAGAGUUGAAUGAACAAGAAACUGAAUGGUAAAGAUGAUGCCUAGUGGCAACGUCUGCUCGUCAUGUUCCAGAAUCCUAAUUUAGCCAUUAAAUAAUUUGAUUUGAUCUCUUGACUCGGCUUUUGCAUCUCACUUUCUCGUGUCUAUCGUUGUGUUUACAUCAUAAAUCAUACUGUACUUUAAUCUAACUAAUAACUAUAAUAUAUAUAAAUCCAACUAAUAUCAGGAAUACUAUUCAAUGUAUAAGGAAAUAAAAAUGUACCAAAAUAAAUAAUAAUAAUAAUCAGUUUCUCAAAACGCGGUCAAUAAAUUAAAAUCAUUUAAUAUCGUAUAACUCGUAACGGACCAUUUAUAUCAUUCUAUCUAACUCAUCAACGGUUCUUGACCGAACACUCCCGGAAACUCCGUAUCUGCACCGUCCAAAUCUCUGACUUGGGACCGCUCAACAACACUCCUACAUAAUCUCGUUAGUUUGACAACCAAUGAGGUAUAUCCACGUAGCCAGUCUCACCAUGCUCCGCCACUACAUAAGAUUAAAGUAAUCACCUCUUAUAAAUUGAGUCCCACCAUUUGCCCCAAAAUUUCCUGACAUUUUCUCUGUUACACGCUUUCCUUCUUUCUCCAUUUUUUUUAAUUUUCUUACGAUUUGUGAAUCUCUUUUACAUAUUUUCCGGCGAUGGCGUCAACGUCGGGAGAAAUGGAGCAAUUGACAUCAGGAGCGAGCAAUCGGAUCAUUUUUAUUUCGAGAACGCUUAGGAAAUGUCUCGUCUUCGUCUUCUCUCUCGUACUUUCUCUUCUCCUCGUUCUCCGUCUCCGUCCUCGUCGCCGUGUCUCGCCUCUUUCAUCGCCGGAGGAGGGGGAGGAGGCUGUUCCUGCUCCUUCUAGGCGAUGGAGGCGGAAGAUGGCAUGGAAGCUGGAGGAGGAAGACACGGCUAGACGUCGUUCCUUGGCUGAAGGCGUUGAGAUGGCCGGAAAUGAAGAGAUCCCUUGUCGUUGGAGCAGUUCUUUGUUUUACGGCCGUCGUGGUAACGCUUUGUUCUCUCGGUCGUGGUUGCCUCUCUCCGGCGAACUCAGGUAAUUAGCCUCUCGAUUUUUGCAUGCACAAAAUUAGAAUCCUCCGGUUAAGUUCUUAAUCAGAAGUUUUAUCUAACCUUGGUUUCGAUUUUGACUUUGAAUUUUUGAAUUUUAUUAAUCUCUUCAGGGGGAUUUUGAUUAUUAUUCAUGGACUCAAUGAACACAGGUGAAAAAUCAACACUUUUUUAUUUUUAUUUUCAAAUUUAAUUCGUCUUACUAAAUUCUCUAUUAUUCGAUCAAUCUCUCAAUCUGUGAAUUUCUUAAUGUCCAGUGGAAGAUAUUCUCAAUUCGCUAAGCAGCUAAACUCGAGUCAUUUAGGUGUAUACGCUAUGGACUGGAUUGGUAUGAACACGAGCUUGUUCUGUUUCUUCUUCAUUUUCAUAUUUGUUCUGAAACUGUGGGUCUGAACAGGUCGCCAUAUGUUUGGUUUGGUCCAUAACUGUAUUAGGUCACGGUGGGAGUGAUGGUUUGCAUGGCUAUGUUCCUUCUCUUGAUUAUGUUGUUUCCGACACUGUAAGUUUACCAUCUUACAAACAUUACUUCUUCUUUUUUUUUUUUUGUCUUUUUUGGUGAUGAAACUAGAGAAAUGUUCCAUUUGAAGUUGUUGAUUUAGUGAUUUGGUGUCUUGAUUUGAAUUCUAUAGGAAGCUUUCUUGGAAAAGAUUAGGUAUGAGAACCCGGGGGUCCCCUGUUUUCUCUUUGGUCACUCCACUGGUGGAGCUGUGGUUUUGAAGGUACUUCAUUUCGUACCUUUGAAGCUCUGUUCAAGCUUUUAUUGUUUACAGUGUCCUGACAUAAGGGUCUACUUUGUGUUAAUAUAGGCAGCUUCAUCUCCCUCUAUUGAAAAUAUGUUAGCUGGAAUUGUCCUGACAUCGCCUGCACUUCGUGUCAAACCCGCUCAUCCCAUUGUUGGGGUAAGUCGUCUCCUUUGCAGUAUUCAAGUUAGAUGCUUUGUCAUUCUAGGCCGGAGAACUUUGUGGGUGAUCAUUAGGUCAUAUGUUUCUUUGUAGGCAAUAGCUCCACUCUUUUCAUUGGUCGCCCCAAGGUUCCAAUUCAAAGGAGCAAACAAGAGAGGCAUUCCGGUCUCAAGAGACCCUGAAGCUCUCUUAGCCAAGUACUCUGAUCCAUUAGUCUACACUGGUCCAAUAAGAGUCCGAACAGGCCAUGAGAUACUUCGCAUAACAGCUUACUUGACCAGGAACUUCAAAUCUGUUACAGUGCCUUUCUUUGUUCUCCAUGGUACAGCGGACAAAGUCACUGAUCCACUAGCUUCACAAGAUUUGUAUAAUCAGGCACCAUCAGUUUUUAAAGACAUCAAACUCUAUGAUGGUUUCUUACACGACCUUCUCUUUGAACCUGAGCGUGAAGAAGUCGGUCGUGAUAUCAUAGAUUGGAUGAUGAAGCGGCUUGACGAUGUUAACGGAUCAGCCGUUGGCCUCUGGUAAAAUAUCAAAUGGCGAAAUAUCAGAGGUCUUCCUCUUCUCUAGGUAGUUGUAAUACAAAUGGCGUGUUUGUAAAAUCAGAAGCCGAAUGUAGGAAAUACAAAUAUGUAUAAUGGGUUUAAUCUUUGAAUUGUUUGAUUAUUGAAAUUUUCCUUACAAUGGAUGAAGAUAGAUAUGCAUGUGAAUGCAUACUUCAUAAGUAUAUAUUAUCAUUGAUUUUGUUUUCCUUGCUCAUUUUGUUUCCUAACAAUGGAUGAAGAUAGAUAUGGCUUCCUUACAAUGGAUGAAGAUGGAUAUGGUUUCUUAGUAUAAAGAGAGCAUGUUAGUGAUUUCUCAGCUGUUUGACAUGGCUAGUAUGUAAAUUAUAAUAUGUGUUGGUGGUAAAAAUUAACAGAUGUAGCUAGAGACAUGAUAUAUAGUGUAUUAGUGUGGAGACUCAGAGAAAAAGGUCGUCGUUUAGUAUAUCUAUAUAGAAAGGAUAACCAGAGAAAGUCAUGGAGUAAAAUCUUCUUAAUCCACACGUAAGAAUUGAUUUUUCUCUGCUAAUGGUACUAUGCCACUAUUCUUCUUAAAUGGAAUGAUAUUUUUGGUUAUUUGCUCUAGUUCCCAUAGUCCAAGUUACGUUUUAAUUACCUUAUAAUGUCCUUUUUAACUAGAGGUUUCUUGGUUCCUCAAAUUUGUGUUCUUUAAUUACAGUUUAUAUGUAUGUAUGUAUGUAUGUAUGUUCAAUGUUUCUUGUAGUUUAAUCUAUCUGUCAUAGAAUGCAUGAUAACAAUAUGCAAAUCUCUAUUCAUUCGCUGAAAAGAGACAUCUACUGGAGGAUUAUCAGUAGAGAAUGUGUUGUCCAAAAGUUUUGAAAUGGCUGAGAGGUCAAGAUUUAUGGACCAAUAUUCUCUAAUUUUAGGCAAAAUUAAAGAAGUUUUGACAUGAUCAUUUAUUUUUGCAGACAAUACCAUGUAUACAUUAUUUUACAUGUGAGUGAAGUUGGUGGAAAAUCAUUAAUCAUCAAGCAAUUUACAGUAGUCCGGUAAACAAAUGAUCGUAUAUAGCAUUUUCUUGCAUUAUAUAUAUUCUUACAUAAAAAAUAUAAUUUUGUCAAAUGUCUUCAGUAGCUGAAGUUUAUUUUUUUCAAGAUGUGAAUGGUUGCACUAUUUAGAUUGUCUACCAAUAUUGUGUAAGACAUAUAUUAAUUGUUUGUUUGAUGUUAACGUAUUUAUCAUUUGAAUAGUAUAAUUUUGUAUGGUCCUAUUAUUUCAAAGUUGUAGUUUUAUUAAAGAAUUUAUAUCCUCAUCAGUUUUCGUUUCUCAUUGAAUUCAGUACCACUUGAUAUGUAGCUUUUUGUUUUUUUUGGGGUAUAUAUGUUAAGAUUCUACAAACUUUUAAAAGAGGGAUACAACCUAUUCCACCCAACAACAGAGACAUAUAUAGGGAAAACCCCAAAAGAAAAAGAAACUCAAAAGAAAGAAACCAAAAAUGGAAACUUAAGUUGGAGCAUGCAUGUGAGAUUUCAAGAUUUCGUAAUUAUAUAAAUAUACAAAAACAUUGUAAACUAAAAAAAAACCUUUCACGAGAAUAUAUAGGUUAAUAAUAGAAUUCUUGUAACGUCGAAAAUUAUACAGAAGAAUAAUUUUCUAGUUCUGAUUAAGGAAACCUGUCAUAACUACCGUGGGACACACACUCCAUUAACAAGUGAACAAAGCCAAUCUGACGGUGUAGAAGAUAACACGUGUCUUGACUUAACGACAAACAUAGAUUCUCCUAACCACCCUUAUUAAUGUUUGAAUCGGGGUAUUCAUUCGCUUUGAAAAUAAACCGGUUUAAUAACCGGAAAAUAAAAACAUGUAAACCGAUCUAAUUUAUGUACCCAGUGUAAAUUUGGUGCUAGAAGCGAACUCGUAUUCACUUUUUUUUUAUUUUUUUUUUCUUUUUUUUUUUUUUUUUAAAGUUGACAAUAGUAAACACCAUAGUCAAAUUACAAAAACAUAUUAAAACUAUACUAGCAAACAAACGAAACUUUCAAAGGUAAUUUUUUCAAUUAGCUAUAUAUUUUAACAUCAAUAAGAUAGCAAACUAAAUGACUCAAAUUGUAUUCUUAUAAUCAAGUUAUAACAUGCUUAAACAAAGAUAAGUGUUCUACUAAAAACCAUUAACACAUAUUGUUAAAAAUGUCAAUUUAAAAAAAAAAACUUAAAUCAAAUUGAUUAAAAAUCAACCGUCCAUCAAUACAAGAACUAAAAAAAGUAGGAAAAGUUAAUCUGGAUACUUAUAUUGGACCUUACCGUAAAAAACUAAAGUUAGUGAAGUGUUUGUUGAACAAAUCUAUUAUUAAAAAUAGUGCGUUGAUGAUAUUUCUCCAAAACAUGAUGUAUCAUGUAUGUACGAGCUGGAGUUUAAUUUUUAAAGCAUGAGGCAAGGCCCUUGCUACUAAAAAUAUACUAAUCAAGAGUCAAGACCGUACAGAAAUAUGUAGAUACAUUUUAAAAAUUUAAAUUCUUAAAUAUAUAUAUAUAUAAAUUGGAAUCCUAUUGAAAUUGAGCCUUCGCCAUUUACAUGAACGCAACAGAUAAACCAAGAUCUAAUCUAUUUCGAGAUAUAAUAUUGAAUCAUAUAAAUAAUUACAAAAAAUGACAAUAUUCAGUAAGUUGGAGGGUAGUGUUAUUUUCACUAUAUAACUCGUGUUAUUUUAGUUGCUUGCUUUCUAAAAUCUUGAUCUUUUUUAAAAAAAAACAUUUUCUAUAAUGCAAGGUUUAACAAUCAAGGAGAAUUAAAGUAGAUUAUUUUAUUGUCAGGAAAAACACUAUUAGUUCAAAAAAAAAAUUAUUGUCAGGAAAAACAUUUAUAUUAUAUUGUCUCUACAAAAGCAAAACCUAGGCAGGCCACUCACUCAUUUGCCCUAAAAGGACUGUGACCCUUAAUUUCACGUAGAUAAUUUUACGUUCCAAACUGGGAAAUAUAGAGUUAGUGAUUUUUAUGCUAUCUUCGAAACUGUGAUACCUACCGGAAAGGAAAAAACUGUGUUAGCAAUUGAAUCCGUGUUACGUUGCUCGUUACUCAUCGAACAAGAACAGAACCUUGCCUCCACAACACCAUUUCUCCAUUGCUUUUUUUCCCCAGAAGAUCUCCUUUUCUCCAUGGACGCACCUGAAGCCCGCCUCCUCGGAGGGUACGUACGGUUUGUGAAGUUUUCCUUCUUCUCUUCUUCGACUUGCGGUUCUCAAUCUUUUUUCAGCCUCACACUUCUCUUUGUGCAGGCUCUUCUUCUGUUGGCUUGAGCUUGUACAGGCUCCAAGAACCAUGUUGAGAGGUUUUUGGGUGGUUUUCCUUCUGUCAUGCAUCGCUUUGCCCGGCGUUUUACCGGAUCAGGUAUUAGAAACAUUUCUUUGAAAUUUUUCUGAUUCGUCUGAAUUUUUUUUCUUAGUUGAUUGUUGUAUUAUAUUACGUAUUAACGUUUUAUUAGUUGAUUCUCGUAUUAUUUGCUGAAAUUUUUCUUCUGAUUAUCUUUUAGUUGAAUAUUGUAUUAUUUUACUAAUAUGUCUGAAUUUUUUUUAGCAGAUAACUUCAGAUGGUGAUAUAGUGGAAUGCGUAGACAAAUUCAGACAACCAGCAUUCGAGAAUCCACUUCUAAAAUAUCACAAAUUACAAGUAAUUUAUUCAAUUUUUUUUAGUUUAAAAAAAAACUUUUAUUUAUGUAAUUUAUGAUUUAUAUCAAUAUUAACCAAUUUUUUGUUUUGUUUUAAUAAAAAUAAUACAGGAUGUACCGUCUGAAAUACCCAAGAUGAUCGGAACUCAAAAGGGGAAAAGACAAACACAAGAAGCUUAUGUCAGUACUACGAAAUGCCCAGACGGAGCUAUCCCGAUCCUAUUGUCCGGUCAUGCCAAAAAUCGGACACAACCUGAGACCAAAGAUUACCACUCCGGACAUGAGGUAAUAAAUUCUACCAUAUAAAACAUUCAAACAACUAAAAAAAAAAAAAGUAAUAGUAAUAAUCAAAGACUCGAUUGGUAUGGUUCAAAAGAACAGUCCUAAUUCUGCACAUAUAAGAAUAAGUAGCAAACAUGAAUUAUAAUCAAGUUACUUUAAUAAUCAUGUUUAAUCUUUGACUAUAUGUAAAUUUGAUAAAUAAUUUGAAACAUGCAAUAAUUUCUUACACCCAUAAUCUGUUCUAUUUCUAUCAAACAUCUAUUUGGUUUAGUAGCCAAUAAUCAUUACAAGAACAUUUCCCAUCUUUAAAAUGAUGAAAAACGAUUCAAUUUCCCUCAACAUAAUCUCUCUACCAUAAACCAGAAACCAUCAAUACACAGUACAGCUAUCUCUUUAGUUAUUGAACCCAAACCGGUUUAGGUUUCACCGUGCCUAUAAGCCCAAAUGCCACGUUCUCUGACUCGUUCCUUUAGAAAGGAGAAGAGUUUUUCUAAAACACAAUUACAAGAAAACAAAUGUGGGUAAUAAGAGCCCAUUUAAAUAUUCAUAAAGGCCCAAUUUAAGAAACAUACCCAACACAUUUCACAGAAGAGAUUUAAUAGCCUCUGUACCGAGAUUACAGUUUUGCAUAUGUGAUGACAUAAGACUAUGAUCCUGCAUCCUAUCAGAUACCUUUCUGCAAUCAUCUACCUCAACCCAUCCAGAAAGCGAUCCGCAUACACAUAAGCAACUAAACUACACUCUAACAUCAUCCCCAGUCUUGAUCUAGUGGCCCAAGAAUGCCAAUUGCUUCUUCCCAGAAACAAGUUAUCCGACAAAGAGAUUAUAUAGUGUGAACUUUUGUUUUUUUUUUUUUUUUGUGUGCACAAUAUAGUGUGAACUUAUCUGAUUGAAAUCCACCAAAAAAACCAUGUCCAAUAAAAAUCUUGUUGCUUCUUUAGGAUAACCCCAUUUGCAUACACAUACACCGAGUUAUCAUCAACGUCCAAGUGACAACAUUUAGUUAGUGAACCAACCGAGUAAAUUGAAAACCCCAUUUGCAUACACAUACACUGAAUAAAAUUGAACUGAAAUCUACGAUCUAAGAUAGAAUCUCUAACUAGUUACAACGACAUAAAGCUUCUGAUGCGGAACCACUUUGAGAAGAUGAGUAAUAUAAUGCUGUUGUUACUGAAACCGGACAUUAACCAUCAAUAACCGAAACAACCCAAUCUCCCAAUAGAGCGUGACUGAGUUUUCCCCAGUGGUAAAUCGCCUUGUGUGAUAAAAGACUUUCCGCUUCUUUUAAAAAUAAUUGGGUAGGACUUUUACAUGAUGAAAACUUUGAGAUUUUGAGAUAAAUUUAGGGGCCAUUUUGCAAAAAUUUAGAAUUCGAUUGUAUGUUCAUCAUUUUUAAUAACAAACAAAAAAUACACCUAAUUCAACUUUGUGUUUCUAUAAUUUAUUUAAAUUAAUCAUUUAAAAAUUACUAACUUGACGAAAGCCCUUCUAACAAAAAAAGAAAAGAGAAUGCCAUACUUUGCAAAAGUUAAAUAUAACAGUACAAAUGCCUAAGUAUAUAUUCUUAUUAAUAAUUAAUUACUGGUUGAAUACAUGCAGUAUGCGAUCGUAUCCUAUGAGGAUAACACGAAGUUGUACGGAACAAAAGCCGUACUCAACGUUUGGGAUCCAGCCAUAGAAGAAGGAGCAGCAGAGAUGUCUCUAGCGCAAAUUUGGAUUGCAUCAGGCGAUUAUGAGACCGCUGAUCUUAACACCAUUGAAGUGGGCUGGCAGGUACGCUUACUUUCAUUUUUAACAUCUUAAUUUUGUUUGUUAUUAACAUACUUAGUUUUAAUUAUAUAUGUAAAACAAACGACUAAAACAGUAAUUUGUUUUCGUUAUUCAAAUAUGCAGGUUCUGCCUCAGAUGUAUAACGACAUCAGGCCUAGGUUAUUCCUCUUUUGGACGGUACGUUUCAUUCUUUAUCACUAUUACUUCAUACUAUAUUCUACUUCUUUUUUUUUUUCCGUUUGAUAACGUUCCAGCACAUAAAUUAUAAUUACAUUUAUUGUUUGCAAUAUGGAUUUCAUAUUUAAUUACUUCAGAGCUAGUAGUAAUACUGUUACAACUUUAAAUAGAUAAAAGAUUAAACGGACCACUACUACUAUAAUUAAGUCUAUAACUGAAUCAUCGAGAACUCUUUAUAGAUCCACUCAGCCUUCCUUUUUUAUCAUCAUUAUAAUUAUAAGAAAAGACAACGGGAUUAAGUAUAUAUUGUUUUUUUUUUGGGCAAAAAGUAUACAUUGUUAAGAAAAUAAUAGUGAACCAAAAAAUGACUGGUUUGUUGAACUGAGUCUUUUAUAGUUUUAUGUGGUUAAGUUGGCAAACUGUUACAAGUUAUAUCUAACUACUAAAUUAAAAUUAAAGAAAAACUUAAAUAACAGUAAAAUAAGUAUUUAAAAUCCACACUUUUUUUGUUGUUGUUUCACACACUUGUAUUCAAAAUAUAAUAUCAAUAUAAAAAUUGAAAACGAAAUUUAGAAGUAACUUCUAUAACUGAUCUUAUCAGUCAAACUCUUAAAUAAAUUUAUAUCAAAUUUGGUAAAUUUUAAAUGUAGUUGUUCUUUUACUAGGUUUUUUGCUGUUUCCAAAAUACUUAUUAUUGUAAUACACUGGUACUAUAAUAUGAUUUUGAAUUAUUUAUGCUAAUAGCAAUGUUUUUGUUUUACAGGGUAAUACAUACCGAAGUGGGUGCUACAACGUCCGCUGCUCUGGUUUUAUCCAAACCAGUGGCAGUAUCGUCGUUGGAGGCCCAAUUGCCCCGGUUUCUUCUUUAGGAGGUAUCCAGACCGAACUUACAGUUUUCGUGUGGAAGGUUAGUAAUUUUAAGAUUUUAUUUUAAAAAUAUGUUUUUGAUAAAAAUAAAAAUUAAUUAGGAAAAAAUAGUUAACGAAUAUAUUUAAGGUUCAAUAAAAGUUAAAUAAUUAAUGUAUAUAUUAAAGGUUUAAUUAGAAAAUUUGUAAAUCAUUACAUGCACGAAGAUGAUUGAACUCACCAUUCUCUAGUAAGAUUUUAUGUAUAUUUACAUUGAAUUUUUAAAUCGUAUGUGAGAAGCUUAUAAUUUCAACUUUGUUAGUAUAGAUUUUAUGUAUAUUUACAUUUUUCUUAUGAAAAUAUUUUUAGACAUAGAUUGUUAACUAACUAACUAAUCAAAAUACAGGAUCGGAAAUCAGGAAACUGGUGGUUAAGUUUAGGCGUUAGCAUAGUAGGAUAUUGGCCAGCCGAACUGUUUACUACACUUGCUGAUCACGCAGCCUACGUACAAUGGGGCGGUGAGAUCCUGAACAAGCAGCCUUUAGGACGACACACGACGACCCAAAUGGGUUCCGGGCAUUUUCCAGACGAAGGUUUUGGGAGAAGCGGUUACUUCAGAAACUUGGAAUACGUUGAUUACAACAACCGGUUAGAGUCAGUCCCAGUCCAAAAGUUGGGCAUCAUAGUAACUAACCCAGAUUGUUACAAGGUCAAGCAUCUAUUUUCAGAUGAUUGGAAGACCCAGUUCUACUAUGGGGGGCCAGGGUUUACCCAUUCAGGAGCUACAUUGGCACUUGCCUCACGCUCUCUAUUUUUCGUUGUAGUUGUAUUACUAUUUCUUAUCGUUUAGUGUAUUUUUUUUCUUAAUUUAUAACUCUUCUGUAAUAUUUAGAGAGAGGAAAAAAACAAUUUGGACAAUGGAAGGACUGUAUGUGUAUGGGUUGAUAGAGAAAUAUUUAGCUAACCACCACACCAUGUAAAGUGAUCGGUUAAUAAAGUAAGUACACGGUAAUCGGUUUCUAUCUAUUACAGACAAGUAAAGUUAUAAUUUGACACCUUCCGUAACUUCUGUAAUAUUCAAAGGUGACAUAUUUUAAAAACAAAUUUAAUCAAAUGAAAUAUUUUUCUUUUAACAAAAAAGACAAGUACUAAACAGCUAAACAAAAAAAGGCAUAUUUUCAAGUUUUUUUUGGAUGAUACCCAAAAAAGAAUCAACUCAGCAAUUCAUAAUCCUGCCUCUUCUCUCUAUUUCCAUCACCCUUAAGGUAUGGUUCUCGCUCACCACCUUUCCCAACGCCUUAAUUAGUCCGGAGCUAAGUGAGCAAUUUGAGCUCCUCUUUCUCUUAAUUUAUUUUAGGGAUCUCAUAUAUAUAUAUAUAUAUAUAUUAGAUUUUGGGUAGUAUAUAUCCUUUUAUAAUGAGUAUUUUUUUUCAAUUGUUAAAGAAGAAGAAAAAAAUCAAAGUUGGAUUGUUUUGUUUGUUUGGAAAGAUGACUGCUAUUUCACACAUGGGAUACGGAUACCACCAACGUAACUGCUGUCUGGUCUCCACGAAUAACGCAAACGUUUCUCACUACUCACUCAUCAUCUUUCCUAACGCAUUAAUUAGUCCGACGCUAAGUUGAACAUGCAGUUUGUGCCAUUUGGGUUCCUCCUCCCCUUUCUCUUGUAUCGUAUUUUUGAAUAUAGAAUCGACUUUUUUUGGGCUAUUUAUCCUUUUAUGAUGAGGUUUUAAUUCUUUACUAUUUUGUGAUACUCAUUAUAUAUAUCUUUUAGUUGUAUUUUUGUUAAGAAGAAAAUAUGUUCUUUAGCUUUAGUUCUUUAGAAAAAAGUAUUUUAUAUGAUUUGGUGUGUUUUUUAAAAAAAAUCUCAAUUUAAUACCACAAGAUUUUAUUUUGACCAUAAUGAUUCUUCCAGAUUUGCCACCAAUAAAUAUUUUGAUUAUAUAUAAAUCAGCUUCUUUACUAUUUUUGAUACUUUGCAAAAAAAAAAAAAAAAAACUAUAUUUGGAGGUUAAUAUAUUUAGUAGAAAGGAGUGGAUAACUGAAGUGACUGAACAAAUAAUAUAUUCAAGAUCAUUGAGUUAUUAUGUUUUUAAAAGCAAUACCAUAUAGUAAAGUAAGUUUUAUUUCGAUAAAUUUAUUAUCUAUUACAAUUGAAAACCAACAACAUAAAAGUCAAUCAUAACAUAAUUCGUCGCUUAAAUCACCAAUUAUAAGAUUUUUUUUUGAUUUUACGCUCUACUGCAACAACAUUUUCCAGUGCUCUGAUUUGGAACACAAUGUCCGGCACGAUAAUGUUUCAUUGCACAGUCAAUAUGGCAUUCAUAAUCUUCAUAAUAUCCUAUCUCACACUUAGCAAAACAGUUCGGUGGUCCUACACAUACAACCCACAACAAAUUAUAUAUUCUUGAUUUUAUAUUUUAGAAAAGAAAAAUAUUUACUAUUGGUCUUAAACUUCUUAAGCAUAGUUACAUAAUGAUAAUAAGAUAGAAGAGAACUCGUAUGUAAUAAAAAUCAUACCUGCUAAAACAUUGAUGUCGGAUAACGAAAUUGUCAAUAUUAUGACAAGAAAAAACGUGACAGAGAUUUUUGUGAUAUUCAUUAUAUAUCCCUUUAGUUUUAUUUCUGUAAUGAAGAAAAAAUGUUCUAUUGCUUUAUAGUUGUUUAGAAGAAGCUGAAUUUAUAGGAUUUUGUGUUUUUAUAAAGAAAACUCAAUUUAAUACCCCAAGAUUUUAUUUUGACCAAAAUGAUUCUCUUGAAUUUGCUACUAAUAAAUAUUUGGAAAUAUAUAUACAUAUAUAUAAUUGAAUCUCUACUAUUUUUAAUGGCAAGUUCAUGGAAAUAUAUUAUAUACAGUAGAAAAACUAUUAUAGAAAUAUAUUUCUGGUCACAAUAUUUUAUAAUUUGGUAGUCAUUUAAAUUUGAUAAGUAUUUUAUAAAAUCAAACUUGAAUAAUAAUAGAAAAAGUUAUAAUAAAAUCCAGCAAAUUAAUUUAUGUGUUAAUUUAUCAUGAAGGAAAAUCUCAGUGGUUUAAUAUUUUUAACGAAAAAUUCAAGUGACCAGUAAAAAGAUAUAUAAUUCACAAUAAGCAAAUUGAUAUCCAUAUCUGGACUUAACGUAGGACUUUCUUUUCACAUUGAGAGUCUGUUUUUUGUUGUUGUUGUUAAGAUUUCUUCGAGUCUCCAACCAACAGUUUUUAACUGAAUAUUCUUGGAGAUUUAUUCUUAAAGGUUUUUUUCUGCAUGAAGCGUCUCAUGGUAAUACUUGUAAACGCAAAGCAUGUGAUGUGACGAGAAUGUGUGAAAGCGAAAUGUCUCAGAAGAGACAACAAUACAUAUACAUACUGUGCUCAAUUCAAUUGCUCACCACAACAUGAAUGGAGACACAAUUCUGCCUAACAAACACGCAACUAUGAUACCCAAAAAAAGAAUCAAACUCAGCAAUCCAUAACCCUACCUCUUCUUUCUAUUCCCAUCACCCUUCAGGCUUCAGGUACGGUUCCGAGGCUAAGUGAGCAAUUUGAGCUCCUCCCCCUUUCUCUUAUUUUAUCUCUUUUGUAUAUAUACUUGACUUACUUUGGGCUAUAGUAUUUACCCUUUUAUAAUGAGUCUUUUUUUUUUUUCUUCUAUUGUUAAAGAAGACAAAAAAAUCAUAGUUGGAUUUUGUUUUUUUUCUUUGGAAAGAUAACUGCUAUUUCACACAUGGGAUACCAACGUAAUAAUGCAAACGUUUUGGUAUUCUUUUCUAUAAUUAUAUAUUUAUAUUCUUCUACCUUAUUGCAAAAUAGAAAAAAAAAACGAGCAAUGAACCCAAAAUUUUGAGUUAAAUAACAAUCAUAACUAUUUUUAAUGCGAUUUAAAGCCACAUCUAUAUUCUUGAUUGUUAAAUUUCACUUAAAAACUGUAUCUAUAGUUGAAGGAUGUUAAUAUACAUUAGUAGAUUAAACGCGGUAUAAUACAUUUUUAAUGUACAUUUGGACGUUAUUACUUAUUACUAUGGUGGAUUAAACAUUUGGAUAAUUAAAGUGAAGGAACAAAUAAUAUAUAUUUGAUUCUAUUUUGUUGAGUAAUUAUGCUUUAACAAAAGCAAUACCAUAUAGUAAAGUUACUUUUAUUUCGAUGAAUUUAGUACACAUUCUAUUUGAAAAUCAACAACUCAAAAAAAAAAAAAAACAUAAUCCAUCCCUUAAAUCACCAAUUAUAAGAAAAUAAUCAAUUUUUAUUUUGGGAAAAUUGAUUUUAAAGGAUGUUUUUUUUUAAAUUUGUCCAUUUAUGCCUUCUUUUUUAAAGUUUGGUAUAUUAGGUUUUAGAAUAGGAAAAUGCUCAAUUAUAUCCUUACUUAAAUUAUAUGGAAAUAAACAUCAAACUUUUUGAAAAAAAAAACAUCAAAUUAGGAAAUUUUCUGUAAGAAAAAAAGAUAUUCUUAAAUCUAAAAAAAUCAAAAACAUAUAUUAUUUUUCCUUUUAAAAAAAAACUCUUCUCAUUUAAUAUUGUAAAAAGGUAAAAAAAACCAAAGAUAGACUCGACGAUGUCAAAAUUUUCUGAAAAAUAAAAACUUCAUUUGUUCGUGAUUAUCAAACCUAAACUAGGAAGAUUGUUUGAGACUAGCUCUUUGAUAUUGUUAGUUUUUAAUUUUUGGUCAAACUCAAGGACUGUAUAUACACCUAACGUUCACUCAAAAUAAAAAUAUAUGAUUUCUAGAUAUUAGGGAAUACAAAAUAUUUUGUUUCCUUUAAUUUAGGAUUCAAUUUCCUUGUAUAAGAUAGUUCUAAAAAUUCGUAGAAUACAUUUUCUAAAAUAUGAAGAACGAAGAGUAAAGUGUAGAAUUGAUGAUCUAACUUUUGCAGAAUAUAGGGUAAAGUGUAGAAAAUAAAUUCUAAAAUUUGUAGAAUAUAGAGUAACAUGUAGAAUACAUAUUCCAAAUUUUGUANNNNNNNNNNNNNNNNNNNNNNNNNNNNNNNNNNNNNNNNNNNNNNNNNNNNNNNNNNNNNNNNNNNNNNNNNNNNNNNNNNNNNNNNNNNNNNNNNNNNNNNNNNNNNNNNNNNNNNNNNNNNNNNNNNNNNNNNNNNNNNNNNNNNNNNNNNNNGUAUUCUAAAUAUUGCAGAAUGAUUUUUUCAAUAUCAAAAUCAACAUACUUUCAUCCAAAACUCUUUUGUUUAACAUUAAAUCUUAUUAAUCUUUAAUUGUUGAUAUGUUUUAAUUUAAAAAUUAAUUAAAAAUUAAUUUUAUUUAUUUAAAAGGGUAAUUUAGGUAUAACUGACAAUUUACCGCAGAAAGCAUAAAAGGACAAAUUUUUAAAAAAACAUUCUUUAAAAUCAAAACCCCCUUUUAUUUUCUAGUACAACAACAUUUUCCAGAUAUCUGAUUUGGAACACAACCUCCAUAAUCAUAUCCUUUCUGUCUACAAUCAAGGAUGCAUUCAUAAUCUUCAUAGUAUCCUUCAGCACACUUAGCAAAACAGUUCGGUCCUACACAUACAACCCACCAAAAAAUUAGAUAUGUUUAAUAUAUUUUGCAUUUAUACACAAUUUUUUCUAAAUAAAUCUUAAAACAUGUACAAAUGGUACCUUUAAGUAUAUAUAUAUAAUAGCUAUUCUCGAUUAUAUAUUUUGAAAAAGUAAAAUAUUUACCCUUGAUCAUAAAAUUAUCAAAAAUAGUUACAUAAUAAUAUUAAUAUAUGAGAAAAUUCUUCUCAUAAAAACAUUCUUAUAAAAAUAUCAUACCUGAAGCGGCUAAAACAUUGUUGCCAGAUAACGAAAUUGUCAAUAUUAUGACAAGAAAAAAAGUGACAGAGACUUUUGUGAUACUCAUUAUAUAUGAUCUUUUAGUUUUCUUUCUGUUGGGAUGAAAAAUAUGUUCUAUAGCUUUAUAGUUCUUUAGAAUAAGCUAUAUUUAUAUGAUUAUUGUGACUUUAAAAAAUUCUCAAUUUAAUACCCCAAGAUUUUAUUUUGACCAUAAUUAUUAUUUCGGAUUUGUUACCAAUAAAUUUUUGGAAAGUAUAUAUAUAUAUAUAAAGUUCAAUAAUUACACAAGAAAAUAUUUUUUAAAAACAGAACUUGAAUAAUAACAAAGAAAUUAUGAAAAAUCUGCAGAUUAAUUUAUGUGUUAACUUUAUCAUGAAGGAAAAUUACAAUGAAUUAAUAUCUUUUAAUUAAAAAUUUAAGUGACCAGAAAGAGAUAUAAUUCAGAAUGGUGUAGUUUAGUGAUAAAUGAGUUGCUUUUAUAUCAAAAGUAUUAAAAUAGCAUAAAUUUUAUACAAACUGUUUUUGUUGUUAAGAUUUCUUUGAAUGUUCAACAAACUGUUUUUAACUGAAUAAUAUUGGAGAUUCAUUUUUUUUUUCAUCAAUAAUAUUGGAGAUUCAUUCUUAAAGGUUUUUGCAUGAAGCGUCUCAUGGUAAUACUUGUAAACGUAAGGCAUGUGAAUAUAUGAUGCGAGGAGAAUGUGUGAAAGCAAAUGUCUCAGAAGAGACAACAAUAUGUGUAUAUACAUAAUGUGUUCAAUUAAAUUGCUUACCAGCUUAUAUAUUAUGCACACAACAGCGAGCCUUUUGACUUUUUAUAGAAGUGAAAAACGAGAAAUUAAAGGGUCAACAAAAUGAAACAUAAAGGAAAGUAAUUACUUUGACAAAUAUUGGAGUAGGUGAUAAAUAAAAAAAGUGCAACAUUUUGGAAUCGAUUCCUUGUAUAUGUUCUAGAAUAGAUAUGAGCUUUUAUCGACUAAUAAAACGCGUCUUGUUGUGAGAUCUCCUGGUCCGUUUCAGUUUAAUUUUGUAUGAACACGAAAAAAUAGUAAUGGCCGAGGGGAAAAGUAAACAUUGGUCAAUGGAAAAGUAAGUGGAAACAAUAAGAGACGAGAAGCUAAAAAAAUAUUGGUGAAAUAUGCAAACUAUUUAAAAAUUGCAAAAAGCUUAUUUUAAAACAUACAUUACAUCAGGACGUAUGUCGUUACGAGUUAUAUGAAUUGAUUAUUUUUUUGUUCGUCAUGAAUUUGAUUAAUUAAGGCACUAGUUGUAGUCGCAAUCCAUAUCCAUGAUCGUUUAAUUAAAAAUCAUUAGUAGACUAAAUAUUCCUUAUAUAGUUAAAGGCACUAUAAUGACACUUCGGUACCUAUCUGAGGUGGGUUUUUUUUUUCUUUCUUUUUUCUUUGUAAUAAUGUAUUUGAUGAUAAUCCUCACUUUUUUGUUCUGUAAAAUAAUUGUAAAGAAAAAAAGAUAAAUAAUAACAUGUUGACAUAUAAUAACGUAUAUUCAAGUUGUGAGAGGAUCAAUCGUUCAAUCUCGGCUGCCAAGUUUGAUCCUCAGAGACACGUCCCCGCAGCCUCAAAAUACAAUUAUUGUCUUUCCUUUUUUAUUUUCUCACUGUAUACAAUUAUUAUUAUAUAUUUUUAAUUUUAUCAUCACAAUUUUUUUUCUUUUUUAACAUCAUUACUAGGCAUGACCACGGUUACGGUUAAUGCGGUUAUGGUUAAUUAACCACCGGUUAACGGUUAUAAUUUUUUAACCAUAACCUUAAUCAUUAUAUAUACGGUUAAGACGGUUACGGUUAUAUACGGUUACGGUUAAUUACGGUUACGGUUAAAUACGGUUACGGUUAUUUGAUGAUUAUUAUAAUAUUAAUAUUGGAGAUAAAAUUUUAUGAAAUAUUAUUUAUUUUACAAGUAAAAAACAUAUUUGAUUUCAAUUAUUUAUAGUGAAUUAGUUAAAUCUGGGUAUUGUAUACAGUUAUAAUAUAAUUUAUUUUAAAAUUUUAAAUAUGCGGUUAACCGAGCGUUUAACCGUACGGUUAACCGACGAUUAAUUACGGUUAAUUAUGGUUACGGUUAAUUAACGGUUACGGUUAUUAUUAUUUUUUAACCGUAACUAAUUUACUUUUACGGUUAACGGUUACAAUUUUUAACCGUUUUAUACGGUUACGGUCCGGUUACGGUUGAUAAACGAUCCGGUUACGGUUAAAAAUACGGUUAAGGUUAGCUUUUGGUCAUGCCUAAUUAUAUCCAUGUAUUAUUAGUAAUUAAUCUAUUACUAAAGAAUGGGGGUAAUUAACAAUUCAGCAAUUUUGACUCUUGUUCUUUUUCAAUUGGUUAUCUAAUUUAACACUCAUAUUCCUGUUUUAUCUUCUAAUCUAUUAUUUAUUUCUUCAUUAAAAAAAAGACUAAAACGACACCAAAAACAAGAAAUACACAACACUUACUUGCUGGCUGAUGAAUUUUUAUUAUUUAUCCAUCAACUUGGUGAAACUGUUUAGGGGGGAAAAAACAUACAAUUGGUAUUGUAGUACUGCAAUUUUUUAGAAUGUGAAAAUCGUUUUAUUUAACAAUGUUUUUUAUAUAUAAAAAGACAAUAAUAGUAUAAGGUAAAAAAAAAAAAAAGAGAGGUAAUGGAUGAAGAGAGGACCUACACGAGAGAGGGUGACUCAGUCCACGUUCUUCUUCUCGAUUUGUCAAUUAGCUCCAAUUUUCAGACUUUUUUUGCAUUUUCAAACUGUUUCUUUCGUUUUCCUCUUUCUCUGGCCUAUAUAAUUCCACUAUCCUCCACUUCUGUGUUUCCAUCAUCAUUCACCUAAGAAAAUAUCUUCUAAGCUCUCAUCCAUCAUUCAACAACUCUCUUCAAUCUACUUCUCUGUUUCCUCUGUUUCCUCUGUUUCUUGAUUGUUGUUGUGUUUAGCUCGGAAGAUAGAUAUGGGAAGUACUCCGGCUGAGUUACCUUGUGAGGAUGUCGCCGAUAACAGAUCCGGCGUUGGCGGUGGUAUCUCUGAUGUCUACGGUGAGGAUUCCGCCACCUUGGACCAGCUCGUCACUCCCUGGGUUACCUCCGUCGCUAGGUUAGUCAACGCUCCUUUAGAUUUCAUACCCUUUUUGUUUUACUUUGAUCUUUCACAGUUUCGUAGCUUAGUAAAGCUGUUUGCAAGUAAAGUUAGCUUUUUUUGUUUAUUUAGUUUAUAAACUUAAAAGCCAAGAAAAUUUCUGUGAAAUAUGAACUUUAGUUUUUUCUUGUCGUUGAAGUUCCAGUUUUUUUUUUCCUGUGGAGCUUUAUAGUGGAUUGAAAUGUUUUUUUUUUUGUAGUGGUUACUCGUUGAUGCGUGAUCCGCGUUACAACAAGGGACUUGCAUUCACUGAUAAAGAAAGAGAUGCUCAUUACUUAACUGGUCUUCUUCCCCCUGUGGUUUUGAGUCAGGAUGUUCAGGUGACUUGGAAAAUGAGCUCACUUUUUGUUCUGUUUUGAUUUGGGUUUCUUUGUGUUGUUAACUUGUGAUUUGCGGUUCAUUUAUUAGGAGAGAAAGCUUAUGCACAAUCUCCGUCAGUACACUGUUCCUCUACAGCGUUACAUGGCCCUCAUGGAUCUUCAGGUCAGUGAUUGUUCUUAGAAACCAUAGUAGAGAAUACGGCCGUUAGUUUUUCUUAUGAAAUGGUAACUUAUGUAUCUGAGUCUUGCAGGAAAGGAACGAGAGGUUGUUCUAUAAGCUUUUGAUUGAUAACGUUGAGGAGUUGCUACCAGUUGUGUACACACCAACAGUUGGUGAGGCUUGCCAGAAGUAUGGGAGCAUUUUCAGGAAGCCACAGGGUCUCUACAUCAGUUUGAAAGAGAAGUAUGUGUUUAAAAUCUUGUUUACCAGGUCACUUUCCAUUUUGUUUCUCUGAAACACUAAAUUGGAAUGUAUGUUCCUUUAGGGGCAAGAUUCUUGAAGUGUUGAAGAACUGGCCCCAGAGAGGGAUCCAAGUUAUCGUUGUUACUGAUGGUGAGCGUAUUCUCGGUCUGGGAGAUCUUGGUUGCCAGGUAAUAAAAUUGGUCCUUGAGUUAGACACUUGAAACUUAUUCCCAUGUUAUGCUGAGGACCUGUAUUUAUCAUUUAUUGUUAACGUUUCCAGGGAAUGGGAAUUCCAGUGGGCAAACUAUCUCUUUACACAGCUUUGGGAGGAAUCCGUCCAUCAGCUGUAAGCACUAGAACAAAGGCUUCAAUAUAUUUGCCUAGAAAUUAGUUAUACUUGAUUGAUUAUUCAAUGACAAUAGUUUGAUCCUAAGUGCAAAUCCGCUUUCAAAUGCAGUGUCUUCCAAUCACCAUUGAUGUUGGUACAAACAAUGAGAAGUUGCUGAAUGAUGAAUUCUACAUCGGCCUUAAACAACGAAGGGCAACUGGCCAGGUUUACUAAUCUUUUUCAUAUUAUUUCUUUCCCUUCUUAUAACUAAUGCAAUGGUCUUUUUUUUUCAAAAACUGACUAGUCUGUUUGCUUUUUUGUUUUCAGGAAUAUGCAGAUUUUCUUCACGAGUUCAUGUGCGCUGUCAAGCAGAACUAUGGAGAGAAAGUGUUGGUACAGGUGAGCCAUGGGAUACAACUCUCUUAAACACUACGGAUUUUGUUAGAGUUAUUCUUUUUCUUAAGAUGUCCCGGAAUAAUAUCAUACAUACUCUUCUUUUCAGUUUGAAGAUUUUGCAAACCACAAUGCAUUUGACCUUUUGUCUAAGUACAGCUCUAGCCAUCUUGUCUUCAAUGACGAUAUCCAGGUAACUUCUUUACCUCAAGAUUUUGAUUCUAUUUCCUUACAUUUUAGUUGAGAUGGGAGAGAGCUUACCAAGAACUUGUUUUUUGUUUUGUGUAAUUGCAGGGUACUGCAUCUGUGGUACUUGCUGGGCUUAUUGCCGCUCAGAAAGUGCUUGGUAAAACCCUGGCUGACCAUACCUUCUUGUUCUUGGGUGCUGGAGAGGUGAGACAGAAGCAUUAUACUCUAUAAGCUUAUCAAUUUGUUUUGCAUAUAUGUUUUGCUGCUUACACUUUAUCUCGCUGGUUCUUUGAAGGCUGGAACCGGUAUUGCUGAGCUAAUUGCUCUUAAGAUUUCAAAAGAGGUUAGUUAAUCUGUUUUUUUUUUCUUACGUUUUCUCUGUUUUCUGCUAAGAAUAUGUGAUUGAUCAUAUCUCGGUUGUUUUGUAGACUGGAGCUCCCAUCAAUGAGACCCGUAAGAAGAUUUGGCUCGUGGACUCCAAGGUAUUGUUGAGAGCCACCCAGAUCAGGCUCAUUCUCUUUAGUUGGAUAAACCUUCUUGGUUUUUAAUGUAUCUCUUUUCAACUUUAUUUGCAGGGACUGAUUGUUAGCUCGCGAAAAGAAUCUCUUCAGCACUUCAAGCAGCCAUGGGCUCAUGAGCACGAACCUGUCAAGAACCUCAUUGGUGCUGUCAAUGUACGUGAUGAGCUCAUCUUUAAGUUUCUUGAUGGGAGAAUAAAGGAUCUUGAUGUCAGAUGUUUUAUUCUUGUGUUCACUCUUUUUUUUUUUUUAAUACUUUUUCAAACAGGCAAUCAAGCCAACUGUUCUCAUUGGAACAUCCGGUGUGGGUCAAACUUUCACAAAGGAAGUUGUUGAGGCCAUGGCUACUAACAACGAGGUUUCUUUUUGUUCUUCCUUUCUGCUUUCUUUCAAAAAACAAGGUUUAUAUGUUAUUGUUCUAAUACUUGUCUUGGUGUUGGCAUAUAGAAACCGUUGAUUCUUGCUCUUUCAAACCCUACUUCUCAAGCUGAGUGUACCGCAGAACAGGCUUACACAUGGACCAAGGUAUACUGUCUCAUAUGACAUCUAAUGUGAUUAAUGUCUGACUCCUGAUUAUUUAAAAAAUCAUAAUUUGGUUUUGUUGCUGCUCUCAUGUCUAAUCAUAUAUUGUGCUUAAUAUAGGGUCGUGCAAUCUUUGGAAGUGGAAGCCCAUUUGAUCCUGUUGAGUACGAUGGCAAAACUUACUUGCCUGGCCAGGUUCGUGCUGUUUCCACAACUCCUUACCUCUCAACUUUAAAUUUUUCUAUGUGACAAUUUGAGUGCUCACAUCAUAUUUCCAUAAUCCUACUUCACUCAGGCAAACAAUUGCUACAUUUUCCCGGGUUUGGGUCUUGGUUUGAUCAUGUCCGGUGCUAUCCGUGUCCGUGAUGACAUGCUCCUUGCAGCUUGUAAGUAAAAAUAAACACCAUAAAAUCAAACUUGGAUACUGAUGAGUUGUUGUGACAGUCAUUUACAAGAUUCUCAAUGUAACUAUCUCUAACUUGUCUCUCUCUGUUUUCAACAGCUGAAGCAUUGGCAGCACAAGUCACAGAAGAGCAUUUCGCCAACGGUCUGAUCUACCCACCAUUCUCAAACAUCAGAGAGAUCUCAGCUAACAUUGCAGCCAGUGUUGCCGCCAAAACCUAUGACCUCGGUUAGUUGAAUGAAACUGUCUUAACACUUUUAAUGAGACCGUCUUAACUCUAAUCUCAAGGUUCUAAAUCAAUGUAUUUGUGGUAUAGGAUUGGCGUCUAACCUCCCACGUGCAAAGGAUCUGGUCAAGUUUGCAGAGAGCAGCAUGUACAGCCCUGUCUACAGAAACUACCGUUAAAAAAAAGUUUUGUUGAAGAAACACCUGCAGAUUCUCCUAUUCAGAACCCUUAAUAAUAGUUCUUCUUGAAGCUUGUAUUGAGUUUUAUUGUUGCUUGUUCGUUUGAUUUCUACUUCUUCUUCUUCAUUCUGAUGUUGUUUAAGAACUCUCUUUGUAUUUUGCUGAUGAAUAAUAAAUUUUCUAAUUACUACUAUAAUCUUCCCAUCAUUUAUUUGUCUAAAACAUUUCCAACCCCCACUGAGAACACAAUCAACUUAUGCUUUAUCCUGGUUUAGAAUUUCUUUUGUACUCUUCAUAGCCUCAAAGUUCUGAAACUAAGGAACUUCAACUGUUGCUAAAAUAAACGAAUAUGUAUAGAUUUUUUCAUUACUUCGUUUAAAAGAGUUCAUCAAAGUACUUACUUUUCAUUACUUUGUCUUAAAAUCAAAAGCUCAAACCAAAUUUGUUGAAAUGGGGUAAAAUCACUCAAAUUUUGAUUGCGAGCGAAAUUGAAAUUAAGAAAUAAGUUGAGGGAGUAAAUAAUGGUUAAAAAGGUUUUAAGAAAAAACACGUUUGGUUUAAUAAACCGCGUGAUCAUCUCUCUUUCUCUUCUGGAAUAAGCGAGAAGCUCUAAAUCUCAUCUCUCGUCCCUUUUAUUAUAACUUUCAUCUUCUUCUUCUCCAAUCUCUCCUCCGAUCAAAUCCAUUUUUUUUUUUAGCUAUCGACAGAGGUAUGUAAAUUUCGAAUUCUCUGCUUUUCCGGAAAACUCUACUAGCGUUCUGAUCAGAUGCGGCGCGAAUAGUGCAGGCUUGCUUGAAACUACCAAAUUUUGGGUCGUUCUGUGGCUUGUUUCUUAUUGCUGCUAUCAGAUUUUGAUUCUCUUAGAAUUAAGGGAUUUUACAUGUUCUCUUCGUAUGAUUGAUUAUGUCUUGUCAGUUAUUAUGGACUAACCUAGGUUUUGUUUCUAUUACCAGUGCUUUGAUUUUGUUCAAUCGGCUCUGGUUACCUCGAUCUAUGAAUUUCGAUUGCUGAUUUGAAUUGAGUAAUAGAGGCAAUUGUAACAUAACGUGUGUUAUGCCAUGAAUUUAUGAACAAGGGAAUCCUGGGUUUAACUUUUCAUGUUGAGAUUACGAACCUUGGAAUUGACUUCUGUUAACUAAUGUCUUUGGAACUUGUUUACACUCUCGUUUGUAUGAUCAAUUAAUAAUAAUCUUACAUGGUGAUCAGGUUUACACAGAGAAGCAGAACAGAACAAGGAAUUAUAUAAUCAUUCGUUUACCCAAUCUGAACUGCAGCUCAUGGCGCUUAACCCUCAAUUGCUACCCAAUGGGAUGCCGGUUCCCUUUGUUAAUGAAAUGUUCGUUCUAGUCAGAGAUGGUGUUGAGUUUGAAGUCAACAAGAUCCCUGGGUUCGUGUUCCCUUCUCUUUAUCUUUCUUGUUUUUAUUCACUGUGGGUUUGAUUCCAUAACUACUGUGAGUUUCCAAUUUAUAGUAUCGUUUUAGAUGUUUUGGAUCGGUUUUGAGCUAAAAAAGAGCCAAUAAGUUUACUUGUAAAUUAGAUAAGUCUCAGAGCUGUGGGUGUUAAACACUUCCCUAAUGUUCUUAUAUUUUGUUUGAUCCAGAGGGCAUGGAGGUCAGGUUAAGUCCAAGGGAGUGAUUUACUUGUCCAAUAUACGGAUGGUCAUUGUUGCAAGCAAGCCUGUUGAGAACUUUGUUGCUUUUGACAUGCCCCUGGUACAGUAACUUUAUCUGAUGCUUCUCUCUUAUUCAGUUUAUACUAGCUACAAGUAUAUGUUACUAUAUACUACAUGUUAGCUUAUGGACUAUAUGUUACUCUGUAGCUUUUCAUCCAUGCUGAGAAAUUCAAUCAGCCAAUAUUUCACUGCAACAACAUUGCUGGACACGUGGAGCCUGUAAGUAGAAACUUUCAUGUGGAAUUACAAUUUGAAUCCUUGCCAUGAAAUUAGUGUAUACUUAGUGGCAUGUAAUAAUAUUUUCAGGUGGUGCCAGAAAACGAGCAUAGAGCUCUAUACUCAACACACAAUUUCAAGAUCCUGUUCAAGGAAGGUGGUUGUGGGACGUUUGUUCCUCUCUUUCUGAAUCUCAUAUCAUCAGUGAGACAAUACAAUCGACAAAUGCAACAAGCAGCAGAAGCAGCGGCGGCAGCUCCACGAGUUGAUCCUCUUCAAGCCGCUCAGACCCCUGUGGAUGAAAUGAUGAGACAUGCGUAAGUCCCCUCUAAAUCAAAGCUUCUGUUUUGAUAGAGUACUAAAAAGCUGUUGUUUCUGAAAGUCGCACGUGUGGUCAUUGUGUGUAUUUGCAGGUACGUGGACCCUAAUGAUCCAACGAGGAUAUAUUUGCAGCAGCCAUCAGGGGAAUCUCAGUUGAGGCGGAGAGCUUACCAUCCGGGUGCAGCGGAACAUUGACAUUGUCAUACACGAAAAACACACAAAGGCUAUGGAUACAUAAAUACCUAAGGGACUAGUGUUGCAAAUAAGCAAAGGUGUAGUUGGUUUUAUGUUAACCUUGGAAACUAAACGACUUGUGUAAUGAGAAAGACGAGACUUGUUGGGCGUGUGAGUUGUAUCUGUGUGACAGUUGGAUUCAUAUAAUAAUUUGAAAGUUUGGUAUACAUGUCGCACAAAUGAACAAUUACAACACGUCAACCUUAGAAGUAAUCGCAAACAAACGAAGAUGACAGAAGCUUGGGAAGUAUAGUGUUACUUACUAUUGUUGACAAAAAAAAAAAAACCGGUUUGAUUCGGUUUGAUACAAGAAUCUUGUGAAUGGACGACAAAAUUGUAACCUCAGCUCAGGCACCAUAGCAUUUGAUUUUGUGUUCAGCCCGAGUUUUAAGAUUGGGCGCCUUUGAAAUUAAACAACCCAAAGUUACGCCUUUGAAAUUAAACAACCCAAAGUUACUUUUGGAGUGAGGAUCUUAUAUGUUGAACCUUUUUGACUCAUAAACCCCAGUUUCGAGGGCUCUGAGUACGCUACGCACGUCUCCAAUUUAGGUCAGUAGAAUCUGCUUCUUCUCCCUGGUUAGUGUGUCAUUUAAUCUCCGUUUUGUUUGCUCUUGAUCGAAACAUCUUAGAUUUGUGCCUUUGAUGUAUUUUCUGGUAUUUGGAUUCUUGUGCUGAGCUCAAUUGAAGUUCCGAUAUCCUUGAUAGAAAUGUUGAAGCUCUGAUUCGUUUACUCCAAUAGAUUAUCCAGCGGUUUAGCCCUUUUUCACAUUUGCAGCUUUUUAUGCGGUUGUGUUCAUAGUUUGUUCUUAAGAUUUUGAAUCAUCCAGCUGUGUUGUGUCUCUUACCUUCCUAUGUAGCAACCAGGCUUCUCACUGAUUUGUAAUAAAGUUGAAUAAUGGUGUCUUAGCCCGAUAGGGAUCAACCCUUCAGCUUCUUCUUUUAUGUUCUUAAUUCCAAACUCUUUUGAGGGUGUUUUGCAGCAACGAGGAUUCAUAUUGAUUGAUGGACACCCAUAAAGAAUCUCGGGAUCGUGGCCUUUACGGUUUAGUCAAUAAAAUUGGUUAUGCAUUUGGAAUGGGAGCUAUUGGAGGUUCUGUAUAUCAUUUCAUAAAAGGGGCAUACAAUUCCCCAAUAGGUGGUCGUUUGGUCGGAGGUGCACAAGCAGCGAACAUGAAUGCUCCUCGUUUGGGAGGCAGAUUUGCUGCAUACGGAGGCUUGUUCUCAGCAUUUGACUGCACACUGGUGUACAUCAGGAAGAAGGAAGAUCCAUGGAACUCAAUCAUGGCAGGUGCUGCUACAGGAGGGUUUCUUUCUCUGCGGCACGGGAUUGUUGCAGCUUCUACAUCAGCGGUUAUGGGAGGGGUUUUGUUUGGUUUGUUCACAGGGUCUGCGUUAAUGAACAAGUAAAGCUUUUUUGGGUUGUGAUUGUUGACUGAUGACUAAUGAGAGCCUCUCUCUCUCUCUCUCUCUGGGUUGUGUUUGAUGCGUUUUCUAAAAUUUUCGCGUUUAGAUCUUCAUGGUCCUUACUAAAAUGUACUCCAAAGUAACUAUUUCAUCAGUAUUAAUAGAUUUUGUAGCACGACUAUGUUGGAUAUCUUCCGAUCAUUUUUGUGUAAACAUUAUCAAGGAUAUACUUUUGGAUCUUCAAGUGUUUUUACUACAUUCAAUAAGUUCAUUUUUAAAAUUAACGUAAAGCAGAUGAGAUCUCUGGCCAAACCAUUUGGGAAGAAGAGUAAGACAGAAAGAAGAAGGAAUGAGUCGUCACCAAUGUGUAAUGAAGAGGUCAUUGAGCUUAAAAGUCAAAAGUCAACUUUUCACUGAUUUUGAACAUUCUGAUUAAUCCUUGAGAAAGUACAAAGACUGCACACACCAGAUUAAGAACCAAAUCCAUUUCUUGUCAAUAUACACCAAAAUAAAAACAACUCAAAGUGUACUGAGGCAGAUAUAAUAAGCACAGCCUCAAGUAGAUCGAUCAUUUGGUUUCUCACUUAUUUACAUACAACCCUUAAGAGGAUCUUCACCCAUAACCAACACGACCAUCCACUCAAAACCAAAACAAAACCAAGACCCCAUGGAACCCAACCAGGAUCUUUAGAUUACAGGUUUUGUCCCUAAUUAUAUCCCUCAAAUAAACUUGUUUUCUUUUUCUUUUUUUCUUUUGCUUAAAAAUCAGCGUUCCUUCUCUUUUGUACCCUAAUUCUAUUCACCUGAAGUAAUAGAAUUACAAGAAGAGAAACAAACAAAACAAAAAAAAACAAACUGAAAUCCCCACUCCAAACUGGGGCAGGACUGUUUUUAGUUGUUCUGAGGAAAAUUACCUGACAAGACUUUGUCACGACUGCCAAAAAAGCUCAAAAUCCUUACUAUACAAUGAGCGGUCUUGUAUCUCCAAGUUUGCUACAUGUCGAUUUAUGAGUUGCGACUGCAUUAUCUUACACGCGACCAAUCCUGCUGGGAAUAUCCACCAUUCACUUUCACCCCUGCAUCCCCAAAACCGCUCAAACAUCGCAAACCCAAUAGACCAAAACAUAAGAAUACAUAGAGAGAGACUCUUUUUAAGUAUUACUUUGCAUAGUAGUAAAACUCACAUGUUUAUAUUCCAUGGCUGAAAUGGAGUUUUCUUGCUGGCUGAUGAUUCACUAUUAUAAUGAACAUAUCCGCAGAGGAAAGCUACAAACUGUCACAAAAUCAAAAUUUGUCAGAUAACGUGAGAUAUGUCAUGUCCGCAUAUCUAAAGAAUCGACCCAUAAUGUCCACAGAUAUAACAAAUAUAUUCAUCCUCAUGUGAAAUGAACCACAAAUUUCAUAUUGCAUUUCUCCACAAAAUAGGUUGUCAACAAUGCAAACUUACCACAUUGACUAAGGACAUGAAGUUCCACAAAGCGUAUACACGUGCUAAGCCAGCAGAACGCCUGGGUCCAUGGCUGAAUAAGGCAUUGAUCCCAGCAGGGAAUGGUAGAAGCAAGCCGAGCGGUAAUAUAAACAAAGCCAACAGUACAUCCAGCAAAGAAAUCGAAUAUAGCUGGAGCAGUGUGAGCAAGACUAAACUAAAAUCUCCUAAAAGUAACAUUGAGAUAACUAAGCCAACCAUAUCCUGCAAUAUCACAAAGAUAACAGAGGAAAGAGACAUUAAUAACUCUAGAAAAGAAAAGUUGGAUGUCACAGCAUUUAAAUACAUUCAUACCAUAAGGAUUUUGAUUGGGAAGUACCUGGUGACCCACUGGUUUAGUGUUGUGAACUAAGAAAGAGAGAAGGAAAAACAUAUCUCUCUUCUCUUUCAGACUCGGUAAGCUGUCAAGGUCGAUUAUCCCUCCAUAGUUCUUUCUGCGUGUUGUAUAAUCAUCACUGUUUAUAUGGGUUUGGUUGAAGAGCAUACUCUCUCUUAAAUGUGCUUGAGAGUUUUCUUUAUGUGCAUGCACACCAUACCUAGGAGUUACAAAAAACAGGACAUCAAAAUUCCGCAUAACUAGAUACGAAGUGCACAGCGAAAACAUGCUAAAAUGUGACACCACAAAAGAAAUCUUAAAACUCUAAAGUGAUCAACAGAUAGAAUAGUGGUCAUCUUGUUUAUCUAGAUUUCUCAGUUCAUAUUUUAUAUUAGGCUUAAAACAAUACAACACACUUAAAAGAAAGAACAGUAUCGUGAAGAUUGCUUUUCACCAUGAAUGGAUUGGAUGUAAUUUCACAUUCAUUUACCGUGGUUGGAUAUCAGUCCAUGCUGUUUCACUGACACACUGAGGUGAUGUUGGUUCACAAUCCUCAAGAGUAUGAAUCAGGAGACCAUAUUGGCAGUAACCGCAAGCUGUAGUCUGAAACCAGGCCAGAUCAACCCGUAUGCAAUGUGUCUCUAGAGCAGGAUUAGCAUGAGUUUCUAACCAUCUCAAAACAGAAUGAAAAGUUGAUCUCAGACGCCCACGGCGAACAAGGCGUAAUUGAGCAUUUACACCAGCCACCAGUCUGUACCAAGUAGUGGGCGGGACGAGCUGGAAAUGUAAACAAUGACAAAGAAUCAAUGCAACCUUUAACAUAACUGCUAAAACUGCUUACGUAACCUAAAGCACUAACCUGACUCAUCAGACUGGUAAGAAUGUUGUCAUUUUGAAGUGAGAAAGGAGCCAUGUAACUGCCAUCACCACCAAACAAUAUGGGCAUAGGAAACCUUUGAUGAAGCCGAGGUGGAAGGUCCAUCCUUUUUUCAUCCCCACCAAGAAAGAAAUCCAGAUACGCAAGCAUCAAAUCGGAGGUUGCAGCGACCUAUAUUCAAAAAUAUAUAUAAUACUAAAUCUUAUAACAACAAAACCUUGAAGGGAAUGAGAUUUUCUCAAAAUCUGUUGUGUUGAGGAACUAUGGGAUCAAAUAAAUCAUCAAUAAAUUACCUUCAGACCCUCGUAUAAAGCUCGGGAGCGACAGGAGCGUAAACAGGAAUGGUCAUAUUCUGAACGUACAAACUCACGUAAUUUUUGCAACUUCAGCUUCCGCCGCCAUUGCUGCCAUGACCAUGCGAGUGGAUAUGCAACUACUGAAAGAAUACUAUAUAUUGCACCUUCCCACCAUUGAUAUGCAGCUAUAGAGUUGAUUUCGUCGACAAAUGUGUUAAACGCAGCCUCAUAUCUAAAGAACCCAAAACCAAUAUAAGAAUAUUUCAGAGCCAAGGCCACUUAUUAAGUAUCUAUUGACAAAACAAUAUGAACAAUUCUCAAUCUGCUUGAAGAUAAAAUAAGAAACAACUAACACUAUCUCUUUUAUCUCCUCCGGGGGAAUGUGCGAGAGAUGCCACGGCUCACUGAAUGUAUUAGGACCCAUAAAAUACAUUCUAUGCACAUGACUCUGAGAUUGCUCAGCUCUAUUUGUUUCCAACACCUGGCAAAGAAUAACAUUAUAAACAGCAGCACAACACUAUAAUAUAAGGAGUGUCUGGCAGGUUAUUUCACUCAAUCAUGUCUGCUGGACAAACAAUACUUGCAUCUGGGGUGAAACAUCAGCGAAUACUAAAAUCAUUAUUUAGAUCGAAUGUUUACAGACAAAUAAAAUCAUCUAACCUCAUUUAGUGAUUCCAGGAAAGGGAAGGAAUGAUCUAUUUGUGAGCCAUGCUGAGUGGGAGCAGGGCCAGGUAGAUCAUCAACUCCAACAAAUUUCAUCCGUGCAACACUAAGUACAAGUGCUAAGAGGAUGAGGAGACCCAUCAGAAGGAGACCAAACAACCAAGGCCCACCAAAUGUGUAAAUUAACUCCUCGAGCGCGGUGUAACAGUGUGGCAUGUGAUACCUUUCCGAUAUGCAUCGAUAUGGACAUGGUGUCUCAGAAACACCACCUGUGUAGCAAAUUCCAAGGUUUAUAGUUGAGACAUGAGCCUUUCCAGCACCAGUUUACAGGCACUAAAAACCAUAUCAUGAUUUAAAUUUUCAACCACAGUUAAAAUCUACAUACUUGGUAGUUGAAUAACUUAAUCAGAAUCGUGGCAAAAUGAAUAGAAACGAUUUAUUUAGUUGAACGGAAAACAAAACUUGUCACUGAAAGUUAGGAAAAAAGUUAUAGUGCAUAUGUAAUAGACAAUAGCUAAAGAUAUAAGUGGAUGCUAUUUAUACCUCGAACUGGGACAUAGACAGCACGAGUUGGAAGCUCAUCAACAGGACAACGACGACAAAGUGAAGGGUCCGAUCCAGUAACAUUUUUGAAUGUACCAGAUGGGCAUUCCUGAAGAAAAUAAUAGAAUUGUGAAUACAAUGAGCUUCGAAAACUACAGUAGAAAUUCAACUGUGAUAAGGAAACUAAAGGCAAAUAGAAAAAUGUCACCCCUGUGAUCUGACAGAGCAGGAAAGUGUUAAACCGUUUUUUUCCUAACCUUACAAAAUAUACCAUGGAGUCCUUUCGGACAAUCUGUCCCAGUUAUUGUGCCAUUUUUGCCCAAAAACUCAUCAUCCACUGCCGCUCCCCCUCUACGAUUACAAUACAAAAAUUGUAAAUGUGAUAGGCUGGAAAACGAUAUCCAAAAAUAAAUGGAUAUGGGAAAUGCAGUAAAUGACGGGAAACACACAUUAAUUAUCAUGGGAAAUGCAGAGGUAUAUAGAGGACAUACCGUGCAUGAAUUAUUCCUUUUACACUAGCAAUUGGCUGGUAUAUGUCUCCAGUGGGAAUGUUUGACCAAUGAAAAUGAAUCCUCCCACCUCCGCCGCCACCACUACCAGCAGGACUGCCAGACCCACCACCACUUGAGAGAAGAGACGACUCUCCUAACAUAAGAUAACGCAGGAACAAAAGGACUGUUCCACCAGAACCACCUCCAGGUGCUUGAAUAGACCCGUUUUCAUCUCUACUCAAACGUUUGACACUUUCUCCAUCAACCCUAAUAGAGCCUUCAAGUGAUAAACCAGAUAGAGGUUGCUCCAUCGAACCAAUCACUGACCAGAUUCAAAGGAAAAGAGAGAACAGUUUAAACGGUUUUAUCUUGAAAGCAAUAAGCUCUCAGAGCAACCACAUGUAAGCACGGUAGUGUAUGGACUAAAUAAUGUCAAGAUUCUACAACGUUUAACGGGCUACGAACCAUACACUUGUAAUAAAAUUACAAUGUAUAAUUUGCAAAUAUUUGACACAUGAAAUAUGAAUAUAGUCAUUAGAAGCUUGACUACAUCAGACAUUUGCAUCAAGUCAUACGAUGACACAACCUAUCCUCUCAAGUUUAAUGGAGCAGAAUCAAUCAAAUUUUCUGACGUUUCAUACCUACAAUACCACCACCAGCAGAUGAAUAACCAGGGCUAUAAUCACCACUUCCACUGCCAAGCUCACAAGGGAGAUUUGCAUUUCCAUAUGUAAUUCCACCUUCAACACAGCUGUUAUUGUAACAUACACGCCCCCCCUUACCACCAUGCCCACCACCACUGCCAAUGCCAUUUCCGAGCAAUUUACCUUCACCUACACCACCUCUACAACCUGUGAAACACAUUUAAACAUAUGUAUGUUUUUACGAAACAUAUUAAAAGAACGUAGGAUCAUAUCUUCUUUCUCCCUAUACGGAGGUAGCACCUUAAAUCGUAUAUUGAGGGAGUAGGCCCAGGACAUGCCCAUAAGAAAUGUAAAAGUCCAAAAGUAUAUAGUUAUUGUUACCCAUUCCACUGGCACUAAUCUCCCCAGAGGUUUCAAGGGUUACAGUUUUUGCUCGGUGGAAAUGAACUACUGAUCCUUUAAUGAAACCUUCGACAAGAAUAUCCUCAACUCGGCAUAUCUAGAAAGAAAGAAAGUUACCAGACUUAUCAUGCAAGAUCUUAAAAUACUAGUUAAAGAAAGGUAGAAAUACCUGUAGGGUAAAGGACAAAGAUGAAUUGACAUUGCAAUCCUCUGGAGGAUUCAGUAGUUCAUAAGGGCAAUCUUGCCGUUCACAAUAGAGCUUUGGGGUACUGCAAAGGAUGGGAGUUCAAAUAUUGUUAGCUGUUUAUAUAUCCGAUGAAUAAUGCAAUCAAACUACGUAUAGAUGGCAUUUUCCUUCAAACUCACACAGCAUCUCGGGACGCAUUCUGCAGAGGAGCACGCAAAAUGGACCCAGGCCCGACCUUCAAAUGCCAGGGAAAAAAAAAUCAGUAACUCCUACAUGGCUAAAUCAAAUACCUUUCUAUAUCUGCUAUAUUAAAGCCAAUAGGGACUUUAAAGGAGACUGAUUGUCAAAUUAUGCCUGUAUCGUCACAUUUUCAGAGCUAACAGACACUAUCUUUGAUUCUGCACAAAAUACAGGAUGUAACCCAAUGCAGGAUUGUUACCAAACUAACACACUGACUUACAUAAAUCCGGUAAAACAGUGACAAAACAAGCCGUUGUGCUUCAAUCGAAUCCCCUGGUCCGGUUAGAUUCAAGAAACCUUGUCCAUGGACUCCAAGAUUUGCAUUUGAGCGGAUGACAGAUGAUCCCUAUAUUUAGAUAGAGAGGUCAUACAAACAAAUUAGAUGCCUCGGUAUGUCACAAAUUACUUGAAGAAGAAAAACAAUGACAUGAAUUAGUGAGUACCCUAAGAACGAAUAAAUUGCUAGCCUCAAGUAUGGAAGUCGCAACACUUGGAUCUCCCCCUCCUCCAUCUAUAUGCAAUUCUGAAUUCCACAUCAAGAACAUCUUGACAGUCAUUCUUAAUGCCCCAUAGACCUGGUACAUACCAAUAAACAUAAACAUAAUGAACAAGUGAUUCACAUGAAUACCAAAAUAGAUUAUGGAGUAUGACAAAAGGCCAGGUAAACCAAGAAUGAAGCAGAUAUUAGAAACACAAAGAAAUAUUUAUAUCUGGCAUAGACGGAUACAGUGCUGUGUCGCUAUUGCCGAAAAAAGUGGAGAAUCAGGAUAAGAAUUACCUUGAUAGUAGAAUCACUCAUUAAGAGUUCUUCCGCCAAUAACUCAAAUACUGAUGUACCAUAAUGAGCUAAGCCAAAGCUCAAAACACCACCACACAAUAAACUAAUUUGUCCUUGAACCUACAUAAUGAGUUCUGUUUGAGUACUACGUCUUCAAUUAUGCAAAAUAAUAUGCUGAAACACAGGAGAUUCCACUAUAUACUUUUAAGAAACGUAUAUAGAGUAGAAAAAAGGAUACUAGAGUGGCAGAAAGAAAAUAAACAAAGCCUCACAGAUUGUGGUAAUAUAAACAUAGCAAGGUGAUAAAUCAGUUUGUCUACAAAGAGUACUGAAAAUUAUUUUCGACAUACCUGGACACGACUCCAUAACAGAGGACAAGUUGCUCGCGCUUUAUCCUGAAUAUAAACAUUGGUCCAAAGUGGCUGGAAAGGAAAUUCUAAGAGAAGCGUAUAAGUGUCUGUCGUCAUGUUGUAGUUGCUCACGAAUAGGCUUCGGGGAACAGCAUCAUAUAGCGUCCCAGCAGCACCUGCGUUAUCUGGACAACCGAUACUAUAUCCGCCUGUGUAUAGGAAGAAUAAGAUCAGUUCACAUGAUUGUAGAUGUUAGGCAAGUACGUAUUGGAUAUAGUGGCUCAAAACAAAAACAAAAAUUAGAUAAAAUGUGCAGAUGUAAAGAAGCUAACCAUGCACAAAGAUCUUUGGGUCAUCAUGCCUGCUAAAGAUAUCGACAGAUACUCUUCCACCACCCCCACCACCAUAACCACUCCCACCACAUGCACUGAUCAGUCCAAUUCCAGUCCUGCACUUCACAGAACAGCAAAGCAGAGGAUGCUAGCUGAGAUCAAUUUAUCAAGAAUCUAAGAAGACAAAAGCCUCACUACCACCCAUUAAAAUUAGCAAAGACAAUGAAUUGUUCACGUGUACCAUACAACAGCAAACAACACAUCUUGAAGAAUUAGGAGCAAGAUCUAAAAUCUUUCAAAAGUAAUGUCAUAAACAAGAUCAUCACUUAAUCGCAUAUUUCCAAUUGAAAACAGAAACUCAUAUGCACAGUACUAGAAAUUUUUACUGUGAAAGGAAACUGCAAUUGUGUUUCAUAUCUCAAAACUCGACUUGCCCUACGCUAGGAUUAUGAUCUUGAGAAACAAUCAGGACCAAACAAGUAUUGCAAAGUUUGCCUUCUCAGCUGCCUAGAAAGAUCUAAUAUAUAUGCCUUUAAUCAAAUCGAAUAGCUAGUGAAAGAGAGCAUAGAAACGAAAGUUCAUUACAUCUUGUAUGCCUUGAUGUAGAUGCUGCCCCCAGCCCCACCACCGCCUUUUGCUCCUCCAUAACCUCCAUUUGCCAAAAUGCUUCCGUUAACAUCCAGAAGCUGCAGAAUAUCCAUCUUCACUUUCCCACCUCCUCCUCCUCCAUAAUCAAUCUCUCUGCUCGUUGACCCUCCUUUACUACCAUAGCUCCACGGCCUCUGCAGAGUGGACCACGAGUAUGCAUCACCUCCCCACACAUCUUCAGGGAGCUUCUUAGUGUCAGUCAAACAGCAAGCGCCUCUACCACCAUGUCCACCACCAGCACCAUCAAUCCCCUGCGGCGUCCCACUAGUCUGUGGCGGAGGGUUCCCAGCUAAUCCCGUGGUGUUCACAGCCGACCCGUUAGCAAAACUAGCAUUACCAGCUGAAAGCUCCAAUGUUCCAGCGACAAUUGUAGAUUCCGCACCCAAAGAAAAGUUUCCAGAAACAUUGAUAGCUAUAGAGCAACCAGGGAAUGGACAGUGAAACUUGACACCAGGCAGGAUGAUAAAAUUACCCUUCCCAGCUAUAUACACAUCGUGCGUAAGGUUCAAAUCGGCGACAAUCUUACAAGUGGUAUCCAAAAACCCAACGCCGCCGAGAUCCUCGUUACAAGAUACCGACGGUCCGUGCGGUGGUGGCGGUGGUGGAGCAGGCGGAGAGUAAUCCUGAUGGAAAAGCAACGACUCUGAAUCGGAGUCCAAAUUCGAAUCAGAACCCGAAUUCGGUUCCACAAUGGUAAAUCGAUAGCUUGAACUAGGGUUUACGGCCAAAACCGCAACAAGGACCAAGGAGAAGACGAAUUGGAAAUGAAAUCGAGCCAUCCACUAGUAUCAAUAGUCAUCACAGACGAAGUCAAGUAAGGUUUUCGAUUCGACCCCAAUUCGGGUCAUUGAGCAAUAGAGGUUGAAGAACUGAUGAAAUCAAAACAAAAACCCAAAUUCACAAAACCAACCCUCUCUUCUGUUCUAUCUCCACCACACGACACUUAUGACUUAUGCAUAAAUCAACAUAGGCAUGAAUGCGUUUUCAGUCGUCUUGUUGAAGAAGAAGAAGAUAUGAAGAAGAAAAAGCGCAUAAACAUUCAGCGUAAAAUGGGACUCUUUAGAGAGAGAAGUGGUGCUUUUCCUUUCUCGGAGGAGAGAGAAAGAGAGGGAAGGGGGAGCUUCCAAGAAGAAAGAAACACAGGUUGGAACGGAGAGUUGUUAGGAUCAGGUACGUGCGACUUCACUGUAAUCAGCUAGAUUUUAGCUAAUCGUCUUUCGCCACGUCAUUUAUUUAGAUUGCUCCAAAAGGCAACGCUGCUGUGCAUCGUGGUUCACAUGGACUGGAUGUGUCAGCGGUAUCUGAAUUUAUUUUCUUACCGAAUCAAAUUGCGACACAUGUCGUGUUACGUUUAAUUACUGGAUUUGCUGUUGGAUUAAGUAGUUAAUUAAUGACGUCUUGGCUUUUAAAAUUUAAAAGUUUAAACCGUCAGGAAUUACGUUCGGACAGUUAAAGGUGCCCGUUUAGAAUUGGGCUUUGAUGGGCCAUGUUUCUUCCCAUGGGGUACAUAAACACGCGCCAAGCUUUGAGCGUGCGAGUGUUUGAUUUUGGAGAAACAACAAGAGAAUGCUAAGUAAAAAACAAAUUUAAACAAAUCUGGCUGGCCCAAUAGAAAACUAGCAGCAUUAUCAUCACCAAUUUAAAAAAAAAAAAUCAUCGAAACCAAUCUUUUAAUCAGUUCGAUUUUUACGUUAUGGAAUCUGGAUCACAACCCCCUCAUUGUUUGAAAUGGAGAAUGGUAUGUAUAUAUGCUUCAGGGUAUUGGUGUGUAUGCUAACAGCUUAUAGCUUCAAAAACAUCUGAAAUGUUUCUUGAUGAGGAUGUAUUACAUGGGACAUGGCUUGGGAGUUGGGAAGACUAUGUUUAGAGUAAGAGAUUGUGCAUGGUCAACAUAGACCAAUCUAAACUAGUGGGAUACGUAUAUAAUUUGAUAUUACGUGAAGUAAUUGAUUGGUAAGUUUGGUAAAAACAAAUGCAAUUUGACUUACGUAUGACUCAUCAUGCUGACUUCUUCAAUAAGACAAUAAGUACACUUAAUUUAGAGAAAUAUGUCAGCUAUGAUCUUAUCUGACCAGUAUCCAACCGGGUUAUUUUUGCCUAGUCGUUGUCUUAGUAUAUUUGGAUACAAAUUUGACUUAUCCCGUUCUCCGUAACCAAAAUCUAUCUUAUGUUAAUGCUCUUUGUAUUAAUGGAAUGGAAUGGAAUGAGAGAACUUAUGGACACGAUGAAACGCUUCAAAGGAUACAAACGCAAAACAAGUGAAAAUGAUUUUGGUUAAUCGUCUUAUCAUAUCACAUUGUCCUAACAAAUCACAGAAAGAACCAAAUCACAUUGUCCUAAGUUUCUAACUAAUCACCUUAUACAUUGAAUGGUUCGUGGACAAUGUGGUUCUUAAUUCUUUUAAAUGACCCCAAAAAAAAAAACAAGGAUGAUGAUCCAAAGGGGUAAUAGAAAACCACCCAAUACGGCCAUGAGUUUCGGAUGAUGCGGAUCAGCUACGGUCAGCUCGAGAGUUACCCAAUAAAUUCACAGUUAAUUUUUUUUUACGGCUUAAAAAACACAAUUACGCGAAAAUUCGGUUUCUAGGUGCCACUUUUUGUUGUUGUUGUUGUGAUUACUUUUCCUUAAGGGAAAAAAAAAAAAAAACUCAUAAAACAAAACAAAGACGAGCUCAUCUUUCCCUGAUCAGAUCUAAACUUCUCCUCGCACCCAAAUUUUGCCAGCUUUCGUUUCUCUGUUCUUAACAUUUUCGCGAAUUCAAAAAUGGAUUUCAUGAAGGUCUUCGAUCAAACGGUUCGAGAGAUGUGGGUUUGCCGUUUCGUCUUGUCUAUUCUCCUUCUUCGAUUUCGAUCCAAAUCCGUAGAUCUUUUUUGGUUUUAUCGUUUUUUUUUUUGCCGACUGAUCUCGUUGAGUUUUCAAUUUCAGAAAGAGGGAGGUGAAUCUGAAAGUUUUGAAGGUCCCUGAGAUGGAGCAGAAGGUGAAUUCAUUUGAUUCGUAUCUAUUAUAUGUGCAAAAUGAUUGAGAACUUUCUCUAGUGUUAGCUAGAAUCAUGAUGUCUCUGCGAAGUAAAGAGUUACUAGUCCUCAACAGCUGAGCUCGAUUUAUUACGUUUCUGUUUCCGGAUGCUGUAUCCGAGAUUAGAUCCACCUUUGGGACUAAGAAAUCUCGAGUUCCUAUUCAAUGAAUAUACAAUUUAAGCUUGAGCGUUGAUGUUUAUAUUAGAUAAGUUUUGUAAGGUUUAAGUUGGUGGCUAUGCGUAUUGUAGUUUUGUAAGGUUUAAGUUAUGUGUUGAUGUUUAUAUCCUCGUUUCCUGGAUUCUCAGUUUCAUCAUGUCUUCAAUUUCACUUUGUUCAUUUCGACUCCUGUGUCUAUGUUUAGUACAGGUAUUGGAUGCUACGGAUAAUGAGCCUUGGGGUCCCCAUGGUACUGCAUUGGCAGAGAUAGCACAGGCCACGAAGAAAUUGUAAUCUCUGCCUUCAUUUUCUUUCAUGAGUCCUUUUUUUUUUUGGGUAUGAUUUUACACGGUAAGAGUUUUGAUUUUAAAAUGCUUAACAUGUGCGUUUGGAAUAUGAUUAGCUCGGAGUGCCAGAUGGUUAUGAGUGUUUUGUGGACUAGACUUACUGAGACAGGAAAAGAUUGGCGAUAUGUCUACAAGGUGAAAAAUCUUCUUGACGUUUUUGCAGUAUUUGGAAGUUUACUGUAUAUAUUUUUAGUGUAACCUGAGUUUUUUUUGUCUACCAGGCAUUAGCUGUCAUCGAUUAUCUGAUUUCAAAUGGAUCGGAACGAGCUGUUGAUGAGAUUAUUGAGCAUACUUACCAAAUAUCUGUCAGUUUAUCUUUCUUACACACUGAUUUUGGUUCUCUCAGGGUGGAUAUUGUAAUUUUUCUAUUGACAUGGUGUUUGUUUUGUGAUUUGCCAUCCAUGUAGUCUCUCACGAGUUUUGAGUAUGUUGAACCAAAUGGAAAAGAUGUGGGCAUCAAUGUGAGAAAGAAGGCAGAAAACAUAGUCGCUCUCUUGAAUAAUAAAGAGAAAAUCUCAGAAAUCAGAGACAAAGCAAUAGCAAAUCGUAACAAGUUAGUGUUUAUACAACUGCAUAUUCGGUUUGCCUUUUCUUCUUUAAACGUUGCAUUUAUCGGGUUAUGUUGCCUCCAAUCAGGUACGUUGGACUCUCAUCCACGGGGAUAACAUAUAAAUCUGGUUCAGCUUCAGCAUCAUUUGGUGGUAGUUUUCAAAGUGGUUCAAGCAAUUAUGACAGCUACAAGGAUAGGGAUUCCAGAGAAGACAAAAAUGACUACGAGUCUUUUCAAAAGUCAAGGCGCGGUGUUAAAAGUGACGAGCAAGGCUUUACUUCAAAGAAGAGUUUUUCACGCUAUGGCAGGUUUUAUGUCAACCCCUUUCAUUUCUGAUGUUACGUUCGUUACAGAUUUUGAAUAUAUUUCAAUUUGUGAGUUUUAUUUCCCAGAUGAGGCUGCUUGUUUCCUUUUAUCUUCUUGUUUCUGUUUUCGUUUACGACUCAUUUUGUGUUUUUUUUUUUCUGAUGUAGAGUAACUUACUUUUUCAUUAUUGCUCAAUUUAGUUCAAUUUUGAAUGUGCAGCACGGACCAUGAUAAUCUAUCCACUGGAAAAAAGUCACCCGACUCUGCCAAGUAUAGUUCACAUGUGUCUGCAGCACCUUCAAACAACGAUGAUGAUUUUGAUGAUUUUGAUCCACGUGGAACUUCCAGCAAUAGUAUGUUUUUUUCUAGACUGCUGAGCUUUCAGAUUGUUUAUCAUUUAUUGGACAUUUAAUUAGUUUGAUAACUUAUAGGGAACAACAUGUAUAUAUGAUAGAUGAAAGUCAUGUCUUAUCUGUAUCGGUUUCGUUUUGGCAGAGCCAGCCGCAGGCAGUGCUAACCAAGUGGACCUUUUUGGAGGAGAUCUGAUUGGUGACCUCUUGGAUUCUGGGCCAACAGAAACAUCCACCACCAACAACAACGAGAAAUUUCAAGAUGCGGACUUGUUUGCUGAUGCAACUUUUGUAUCAGCCUCGGCUCAGGGAACAGGAUUUGGUUCACAGUCACCGGUGGGCAACUUCUUCCAUCUAAGCUAGUAUAAGGCUUUAAACAAAUGAAAAUUUCCUUAUUAACGUUCUAUCUGAUUCAAUUCUGCACUGCUUGACAAACAUGCUCAGUUUUCGUUGUUGAAGUUAUAACGCGUCAUUAUGAAUUGUGCUAUUGAAUCAUAGACUGAUAUGUCUCCCCAUGUCUGUUUCUACAGAAAGAAGUUGAUCUUUUCUCUGCGUCUGAACCUUCUGUCACAGUUUCUUCAGCUCCUCCGACAGUUGAUCUUUUUGCAUCUCCCGAAUCCAUUGCACGCCCAGAAGCCAAUAUAUCUAAACCUGAGUCUAUGACCACUCCCAACAUUGUUGACCCAUUUGCUGCAGUUCCAAUGGAUAAUUUUGAUGGAUCUGAUCCUUUUGGUGCCUUCACUUCCCACUCGGCUUCAGCCUCUACAGGUCCACAGGCUCCAAAUGUACAAGGGAGUGCAGCAAACACUACAAGCCCGAUGUCUUUGGCAGACUCGAAGCCACAACACUUGCAAAAGAAAGAUCCUUUCCAAGUGAAAUCUGGAAUUUGGGCAAAUUCUCUGAGCCGUGGACUGAUUGAUCUCAAUCUAACUGCUCGUAAGUCAAAACUUCCCCCUUCAUCCAGAACUCUAUCAUGUGCCAUGCACUAGUAUGUGGUAGUGAACUAUUAAGAAAAUUGUAUUUUUCUCAUUAGAUGCAGAUAAAACUGAACAGGUAUAGUUGGUCAAUUACAUUCCAACGAAUUGUCAAAUAGUUGAUUAAACCACUCAAACUUCUUCGGUCAUAUAGAAUUUCAAUACCAUGUACCUUGACUUUGCAUUGUGUCAAGACAAAUAAAUGGUCGGGUUUAACUUUCUAAGUGCGAUCUCAGUCCUGACUAUUUGGUUUUCCUUGUAAUCAGCCAAAAAAGCUUCUCUAGCUGAUGUGGGCGUGGUGGGUGGUCUGAGCAAUGAUGAAGGUAACAAAGCAUCUGCUGCUUCGUACUACUCAGGCUGGUCCAUGGGUGCAGGAUCAGGGCUCGGUAAAACUGGUCUAUACAGUACACAGCAGCAGCAGCAACAACAAGCACAUGAUAUCUCAGAUGAUUUCUUCUCCAGCCUCAGUAACCAAAACUACCAAUCUGGAGGCUUUAAGUAGUGAAUUUGUCCGGGAUAUUCGUAUUGAGACGGAAAAGGCAUAUCAGGUUUGAGUCUACAUUCAAUACUGGAAAUCUAAGUAAUAUUUUUUUUUAAUUGGCUUGUUGUUCUUGCACUUCAUUCAUGAGACGAUCUGGUCGGUGGCUGAUGUGCCAUUGUUGUUGUGGCAUUUACUUUGGGUUUAAAUGAGAGAUAAGAAGAGAUAAGAAUUGUCUAUGGUUUUUGAUAAGAGAGUAUUAUUAUUGGGUUUAAGUUUUGUUUUGUUCAUACAAAAUAAAUGUAUCUGAGUAUCUCGUCCGACUCUUCAAAGAUUUUUGCUAUCGUGUGUGAUUCUUAAUCCAAAGAGACUCCAACGUUCUUCUUAAUUAUGUUUUCUGAUUUUAUUCAGAAACUGCGUACACAUUGACGUAAGUUCAUAUCUUAAUGAUUAUGUUUAAGACUAAUCUUAUUACACUAUUUAGUUAACUUGUCACGAAUGACUUAAAAUAUAGGUUAAUCUUAUUUACAAAGAAAAUGAUUAAAUUGGAACAGAAAGAAAGAAAAAAAACUAGUCCAACACAAAAAUAAAAAAUGUCAUCUCUUCACUGGUUUACCAAUAUCGUCUUCGUCGUUGUCGUCUUCUGCUCCACGAGUUUAGCUUCACCCUUACAUGGAAGCUCACAGGUUGUACUAGAAGAAGAAACCACAGUAGUAGGAUACGGCUACGUCGUUAGAUCAGUGGCUGUUGAUUCCAAUGAGAAGCUUUUGACGGCGAAUCUUGACCUGAUCAAACCGUCGUCCGUUUACGCACCGGAUGUGAAAUCGCUUAGUCUUCAUGCCAGGUCCUUAUAAUCUUCUCCGUUCUUCUCUCACUCUUAGCAAUAUAUCUAAUUUGGCAAGUUUUUUAAAGUUAUUUUAAAUGUGCGAUAAUUAAGGAAAGUUUUAUGAUUGUUUGGUAUAUAUUAUAUGUGCAGCUUGGAGACGAGUGAGCGUUUGAGAAUCAGAAUCACAGAUUUUAGUCAACAAAGAUGGGAGAUACCGGAAAAUGUUAUUCCUCGCGCCGGAAACCACUCUCCUCGCCGUUUCGUAACGGAGGAAGUAGACGGAGGAAACUCGCCGGACAGCAAUUUCUUAACAGAUCCAUCAUCGGACUUAGUUUUCACACUCCACAACACCACGCCUUUCGGUUUCUCCGUCACCCGACGCUCCUCCGGCGAUAUCCUCUUCGACACUUCGCCGGAUCAAUCAGAUCCGAGCACUUACUUCAUCUUCAAAGACCAAUUCCUUCAACUAUCUUCCGCGUUACCGGAAAACAGAUCGAAUCUGUAUGGUCUCGGGGAGCAAACCAAGCGAUCGUUCAGGCUAAUCCCGGGUGAUACUAUGACUAUGUGGAACGCCGACAUCGGUAGCGAGAAUCCGGAUGUUAACCUUUACGGAUCGCACCCGUUUUACAUGGAUGUAAGAGGAUCAAACGGUCAUGACGAAGCAGGGACGACUCACGGCGUUUUGUUGCUGAACAGCAAUGGAAUGGAUGUGAAGUAUGAAGGACAUCGGAUUACUUACAGUGUGAUCGGAGGAGUCAUUGAUCUCUAUGUGUUCGCUGGACCAUCACCUGAAAUGGUGAUGAAUCAGUACACAGAGCUUAUUGGAAGACCUGCUCCUAUGCCUUACUGGUCAUUUGGUAAGAGACAUUGUGCUGUUGCAUUUUGUUUGCUUAAAAGUUAGUCCAUAGCAUUAUCAGAUAAUAUACUUGUUUGUGUGGAUUGAGAUGUGCGUUUUGCUUUGAUUUUGUGAAGGAUUUCACCAAUGUAGGUAUGGCUACAAGAAUGUUUCAGACCUCGAAUCUGUAGUUGAUGGAUAUGCAAAAGCUAGAAUACCUCUUGAGGUUAUGUGGACAGACAUUGAUUACAUGGACGGCUACAAAGACUUCACUUUGGACCCCGUAAAUUUCCCAGAGGACAAGAUGAAAUCAUUUGUGGAUACACUUCAUAAGAGUGGUCAGAAAUACGUGCUGAUCUUGGAUCCCGGUAACAACCAUAUACUAUCUCUUGUCUGUAGAGUCUUUAACAAAUUGAUUUUACAAGAUGAAAAUAUUGGGUUUACGUGUAGGUAUUGGUGUGAACAGAUCUUACGGGACUUAUAAUAGAGGGAUGGAAGCAGAUGUUUUCAUAAAGCGAGAUGGUGAGCCUUAUCUCGGUGAGGUUUGGCCCGGAAAAGUAUACUUCCCUGACUUCUUGAAUCCAGCUGCUGCAACUUUCUGGAGCAAUGAAAUCAAGAUUUUCCAGGACAUUCUCCCUUUGGAUGGUCUGUGGAUUGACAUGAAUGAGUUAUCAAAUUUCAUAACUUCACCUCUAACCCCUGGAUCUUCACUCGAUGAUCCUCCUUACAAGAUUAACAAUUUUGGGGACAACGCGCCAAUAAACAACAAGACAGUUCCCGCAACAGCUAUCCAUUUUGGAAACGUUAGUGAAUACAAUGCGCAUAACUUGUAUGGCCUGUUGGAAGCUAAAGCCACUCACCAGGCUAUAGUGGAUGUAAUGGGAAAGAGACCAUUUGUUUUGUCGAGAUCCACGUUUGUAAGCUCCGGAAAGUACACGGCUCACUGGACUGGUGAUAAUGCUGCAAAAUGGGAGGAUUUGGCUUACUCAAUCCCUGGAAUUCUCAACUUUGGUCUGUUUGGGAUUCCUAUGGUUGGAGCUGAUAUAUGUGGUUUCUCACAUGAUACCACCGAGGAACUAUGUCGUCGAUGGAUCCAGGUAGAGUGAUUAUUUCUCAGACACAACCUGUAGACUUUUUCCUGAGUUCGUAAUCUAACGUUUGCUCUUAGAUUAUCAGCUUGGAGCUUUUUACCCUUUUGCAAGAGACCAUUCGUCCCUUAAUACCGCCAGACAAGAAUUAUACCUCUGGGAGUCUGUUGCUUCUUCUGCAAGAAAGGUUCUCGGCCUCCGUAUGAGACUGCUCCCACAUCUCUAUACACUGAUGUAUGAGGCUCACGUUAGCGGCAUCCCGAUCGUGAGACCACUCUUCUUCUCGUUCCCUCAAGACACUAACACUUACGAAAUUGAUUCACAGUUCUUGAUCGGUAAAAGCAUAAUGGUUUCUCCGGCGCUGGAGCAAGGAAAGCUGACGGUAGAUGCAUAUUUCCCUGCCGGAAACUGGUUUGAUCUUUUUAACUAUUCAUUUGCCGUCGGUGGAGCUUCUGGCAAGCACGUUAGGCUUGACACUCCCGCAGAUCACGUGAACGUUCAUGUUCGAGAAGGUAAUUAAAUAGUAUGUUCUUUGAUAGCUACUUCUGAAAUGAAACUGGAGUUGAGCUUGAACAGAUUUUGGUUUAACUUGUAAAUAGGUAGUAUUGUGGCUAUGCAAGGAGAGGCAAUGACAACUAGAGACGCCAGAAAGACACCGUAUGAGCUUCUAGUUGUAGCCAGCCGGCUUGAGAACAUAUCCGGCGAACUGUUUCUGGAUGACGGGGAAAAGAUACAGAUGGGAGAGGGAGGAGGAAACCGUGAUUGGACUCUCGUGAAGUUCCGGUGCUACGUAACAGGGAAAUCGGUGGUACUGAGAUCAGAAGUGGUGAACCCAGAGUACGCUUCGAGAAUGAAAUGGAGCAUAGGGAAAGUGACAUUUGUUGGGUUCGAGAACGUAGAGAGCGUGAAAACGUACGAGGUGAGGACAGGUGAGAGAUUGAGAAGUCCGAGAAUCUCGCUAAUCAAAACGGUUAUGGACGAUGAUGAUCCGAGGUUUCUCAGUGUGGAGGUUUCAAAGCUGUCGUUGCUUGUUGGGAAGAAGUUCGAGAUGAGAUUGAAAUUGACUUGAACAAGUACUAAACCCAAAUAUUGAUGAUAUAAACUCUGGAUGCUUAAUGAAUAAAGGGUGUAAAGAAGAGUGAUAUAUAAAGAUUUAAGAAUAAUGUCAUGCGAUCCAAUUACUUUGUAUUAUUGUACAGAAGGAUACAUACCAGGUUCAAAAUUCGUGUAUCAUAAAUAUUGUAUUUUUCCCUUCUCCUUUUCACUUCGUUAGUAUUUUCUGUUCAUUAUAAAUCAACCAAAUUGCAGUCUUCAAAAUUUUUGAACCAUCUGCACAUGUUGCCAUGUGGGGUUUGCCGGAAAAAAAAAAAAAAAAAAAAAGAGAGGAGCAUAUUUUUUUAUUUUUUAUUUUUUAUUUUUUUUUGUCAAAAGAGAGGAGCAUAUUUGUGCCACUUUGACCACUUUUUUCCUUUUGCUAAUAUACCGCCAUGUUUGUGCCCACAAUUUUUCUGAAUUCUCACUAAUUGUCAUUGACCUCGUUAACUCAAAUUUCAAAAUAAUUAAUUAACAUAAUAAACUUACAAAUUACAAUUCGAAAUUAUCCUUAUUGGUUGAUAAAUAUCCUUAAACGCGUUUAAAAUUAAUUACCAAACCAGAAGAAGAAAAAAAAUGAAUGUUAUGGUCCCAUUCUAAUAUACACACACACACACAAAAAAGAGUCGACGGUACAACAGCGGUCUUGUCUAGUACGCAAAAACAGUUUCGGCGUCUUCCUCACAUUACUUUUCUCAAUCAAUACCGUCUUCUCCUCUCCAUCCAUUAUCUCUCUCUCUCUCCCUCACGGAUUCGUAACUUCUUCUCAGUGCUUCUCCGUCAUCUUCGCAUUAUUGAUUCUUACUUUUUCCCUGUAAGCUCGACACGUGGAUUGUUCCCCUGCUUUUUCUUUUGUUUUUUUUUGCCUCUUUUCGUGAAGAUUCGUUUCCUGUAUCUGUGCAGACUUGCAAUGGAGUAAGUUUCCUAAAUUAGCUCGGCUCUAGAUCCUAGUUUCUUUAAUUAGCUUGUCCGGUGAAGGAAUUAGUGACUGGAUCAACUAGAUACUAUCGAUUCCGUAUGCUGCGGCUUUCGAUUUCGUGGAUUUGUAUUUGGAAAUUUUGCCGAUUUUUCUGAUUCUGUCCUGCUGGUAAAGGUCUCGUGAUUAGCGGAGGAGAUCUGGAGUUCUUAGUUUUAGGAUCUUACGAGCGAGCAAUUGUUGACUUUUGAUUUUGCCACAGUUUUAUUCACGUGUGUAGGCUUAGUUGAUUCAGAUUCAAGUUAGAAGCAGAAUCAGAAUCUGCAAAUACCUGUUGUUUUAGAAACUAUAGAGAUGCAGACUAGGGUUGUACAGUUGGAAGAAGGGAAAGAAACUGGAAUCACGGUUAGAACAGGGCAGUACAAGGCAUUUCCUUCGAAGCUGCUUCUUCUGCUAGGCUUUUUUCUUGCUUUUGCUAUUACUGUCUUCAUCAUUAGUGUAUCUACUAUCAAGUAUACUGGAAUACAAAGUGUAGUGACCACAGUGACUUCGAGCUUUGUGCCAUGCCGUGAGGAUGAACCCAGUGGUUUUAGUCAAUGGAUACUACCUCCUGCUGUUCUGAUGCAUAAUAUGAGCGACGAAGAGCUCCUUUGGCGCGCUUCUUUUUGGCCUCGGAGAAAAGAAUAUCCCUUUAAAAGGGUUCCAAAGAUUGCGUUUAUGUUCUUGACUAAAGGCCCCUUGCCGCUUGCUUUGCUUUGGGAGAGGUUUUUCAAGGGUCACAAUGGGCUUUACUCGGUUUACCUUCAUCCACACCCAUCUUUUACAGCCAAGUUUCCAGCUAACUCUGUUUUCCACCGGAGGCAGAUACCCAGCCAGGUCUGGUUCUUUUAUUUCUCUUCUGUUUACAUGGAUACCAGUUUCAUAUGGUAUGAGAAACUGGAGCUCCUGGACCAAACUUGGUUUCUAUAGAAGCCUCUUUGGCAUUGCGUAUUUACUCCAUACAGCCUUUUUGGAUGCCAUGUAGUCAUCGCUCUUGAAGUAUUAUUGUUGAUUAAGUGAUUAGUUGGAUUACCAAUCACAUAAACUAUCAGAAAAUAUAACUCUAGAAUCAAAUUGGUGGUUUCUUUAGUAGCCUUUUGUUCAAGCAGUUCUUCAGAUUGCUUUGAAUCUAAUUGGUUAUGUAUCUGAUUUUAUUGUUGUAUCAUUGUGCAGGUUGCAGAAUGGGGGAGAAUGUCCAUGUGUGAUGCAGAGAAGCGGCUUCUCGCCAAUGCGCUGCUUGAUAUCUCCAACGAAUGGUUUAUUCUAGUCUCAGAGUCAUGCAUUCCACUCUACAACUUCACAACCAUCUACAGCUACUUAAGCCGAUCAAAACACAGCUUCAUGGGUGCUUUUGAUGACCCUGGACCGUAUGGGCGCGGCCGCUAUAACUCGAACAUGGAACCAGAAGUCCCCAUUACCAAAUGGCGAAAAGGGUCUCAAUGGUUUGAGAUUAACAGGGACCUAGCAGCUACCAUUGUCAAAGACACAUUGUAUUACCCGAAAUUCAAAGAGUUUUGCAGACCCGCUUGCUAUGUGGACGAGCAUUACUUCCCGACAAUGCUGACAAUUGAGAAACCAGAGGUCUUGGCUAACCGGAGCUUGACAUGGGUGGACUGGUCGAGGGGAGGGCCCCACCCUGCCACGUUUGGGCGAUCUGACGUUACAGAGAAUUUCUUUGUAAAGAUCUUUGAUGGAAGAAACUGCACUUACAAUGGGCGCAACACUUCCAUGUGCUAUCUUUUUGCGAGGAAGUUUGCUCCGAGUGCUCUGGAGCCUUUGCUUAGCAUUUCUCCGAAGAUUCUUGGAUUUUGAGUAGUUUAGUAAUGUCUCUGAACCUCUUAGACAUCAAAUAGAGAACACGGAAUGGGUGAGAUAAUGGAUUCUAUGGGAGAUUAUACGCCGAUAUUAUUUUAUUUUGUUUGUUGUGAUGUAAGUUGGGAAGAAAUGAGGUAUUAGUAGAGAGAACUCUAGGUUGCUCAACCACAACAGGAGCCAAGUCAUAUGUAACUUUAUAUUUUUAAAGAAUUACUACUAUGCUAUGCAUAGAUCAUUUUUUCUUCCGGAUAGUCUUGGAACAUUAGUUGUCCGAUGCACGAAAUAGGACAGGUUUAUUAUAUAUACGCAAGUGUCAUUGAAUCAGAUUUGUUUGUCUAAUGUUUUUUCUAAUGUUAUCGUCUCUAACUCAUUUUGAAUCAGGUUAGAAAAACGAACAAACCUUUCUUAACAUGGAUAUGUAUAUAGAGUAAUCUUAGUCUUGGUAAAUUGCUUACCGACCUACAAACUAAAAAGAAAGAAAGAAAGAAAGAAAAAUUGCUUACCGACCAAGAUAUUGCUUAGAAUGUGAAACCAGUAGACUAGAUAACUAAAUGACAAUGGGAACAAACCAGAGCCAGGUGGAGAACACACUUUUACACCUAAUCGAAGGUUCUCGAAACCCUCAAGAGCCUGCCAACGUCUACCAUCUGUCUUUUUUUCUCUUUCUCUUUAAACAAUUGCAAAGUUUAAUAAAGUAUGUGAAAAGGUUUCAUUUAUGGAAAAAGAAGGUCUCAAAAUUCAAUUCUAUAUCAUCUUAUUGGAAUAUAUUCUCUGAGAUAAAAAGAAAUUCCACACACAUUCCACCAAUUUUUUAUUGUAUAUAAAAACUUAUAAUGAAAAUAUUUUCAACUUUUUUUUUUAGUUCUGAACAAAAAUAAUUUCAAAUAUUUUCUUCAAACUGACUUUUUCUAAGAAAUGUGAUGUCCACCCAUUCAACUAAGUUGGCUCACAUUAUUCUCAAAAUUAUAUAAAAAACAAAUCUAUAUGGUCUAGAUGCUAUUAAUAACUAUUGAAAAACAAGACAAUUUUGACAAAUUCUCAUAAUACUAUUAGAAAACAUUAUAAUAUAGUUAUUAAUUAUAUAUUUGUCUACUCUUUUCAAUAUCGCAUUAAUCUUCCAUGAUAAGGAAAAAGAAAGAUUAGCACAUUGUUCUUCGUUUGUUUACCAAACAAAAAAAAACACACAGUUCACCAAUACCAGUUUAAAGUACAUUAAUCAAACAUUGCUUCGAGAAACCAAAGAAAAAACAAUUUUUAUUACCUCUUCUGUCGACGUUAUUUGUUUUUUAAAGAAGCUCUUUUCUAUAAAGGAAAAACAUUAGCCGUUACACGAACCCCAUGUGCUCACCAAAUAAAAUGGUCCCUUCUUUACUCCCAACCAAAUACAAAUACAAAUACAAAUACAAGUCUGCGCAUCUUGGCCGUUUCCUUCACGGAACCGCGUUUUUCCGUCACUGUUAAAAAAAAAUUGACAGCUCAUCAAACAUUCUCCACGCGCCGUGACUAACAAACAAAAACCUCUACCAAGACCGUUGCGUCUUUUUUAGUCCAGAAAGUUAGAUGCACGCGCCAAGUGUGAGCGUUCGAGACAAAAAUAUCCUCGCGAACGGCGCCGUAACGGAAGAAAGAUGACCUGUCGAAAUCUCAGUGAUUGCGUGGGAGCAAUAUCAACCGUCGAUUAUUCAUACUCCAGCUGGAAAAAUCAGGGCAGCUAAACCAACUAAACCGGGCAGCUCCACCUCUUUAUAAACUCGUCACCACAUUUCAUUUUAGAAAACCAAAUAUUCAAAGAACCCUAGCCUCCUCUCUCUUCUUCAUUCACAUACACACACAUCUCUCUCUUUCUCACUCUCAACUUUAAAACUCUUUUGAAAUGGCGUUCUCCAAGGCUUCAAUCGUUGCUCUCGUGUUGGUCAUCAUCUCCGUCGUGGCUACGGCUCAGUCUGAAGCCCCAGCACCAAGUCCUACUUCCGGAUCUAGCGCGAUCUCAGCUUCGUUCGUCUCAGCUGGAGUAGCAGCAGUGGCGGCUCUUGUCUUCGGCUCUGCUCUUCGGAUCUAAGCUUUACUGUGAUGGUGGUUUCGUACAGAGAUUGUUUUUGCAGUUUAUGAUUAUUAUUAAUAUAUCUUGGGGAGUAUAGGCCAUUCAUCAUUAUUCGUCUCUCGUGUGUAUUCCGAAGCCUAUAGAUCUCAUUUCUUACUUGGCUCUCUUUUCUAUCUUCUUCUUCUAUAUUAUAAUCUUCAUAUAUGUAUUGAGGAUGAUAUUAUCUCUGGGUAUUGUGGUGGUUUUAGAGUUGUGGGAUUAUGGCCCUUUUUGAUAUGAUAUAUUGAAUCUAUUCUAUUUAUUUAUAUAUUUAUGGAUUUCCCUUCUUAAAUCUCUCUCUCUCUCUCUCUCUCUUCUCGUGUUUCACAGAUUAAUAUGAGAAUAUGCUUACACAGAGUAGUUGAGAAUUUUAUAAAUCGGAAUAUAUUCCAACGCGUUACAAAUCGAAUCAUUCCAAAACCCAAGUAAAAUGCUGUAACUCAAAAGCUAACUUUUAUGAUCUAAUUGAGAAUCAAAAAUUGUAUUCUGGUGGAAAUGGAACUGAUUCUAAACAAAGCUCG